rnacentral:lncRNA from 1 species
UUUCAGCUCAAAUCAAACCCAAUAGCCAAUCUACAAAACCCAAACCUAUAACCCAAUCCAAUUAAACCUUAGCCCAAUUCUAAACCCAUAUACUAUAACCCAAUCCAAUUAAAUCUAGGCCUAGUCCAAAGCCCAGAGCCCAUUUACAAAUGGCCCCGGUCCAAAACCCAUUUAGGCCUACUAUCUAAGCCCAUUAUCCAAAACUCAUUAAAACCAUUAACCCAUAAACCCAUAUACAUAAACCCAUAUACAUUUACCCAUAAACCCAUACACAUUUAACCCAUAUCCAAGCCCAUAACCUUAACCAAGUCCAUGAACUUUGAACUAAAACCAUGGACCAAACCAUAUACCAAAUCCUGUGGACCAUACCAUACACCAAAUCCACAAACUAUGAAUCAAGUUCAUGAACCAUAAGCCCAUGAACCACAAGUUCAUAAACCCAUGAACCAUACCACAAGUUCAUGAACCAUAAGCCCAUGAACCAAACCCAUAAACCAUAAGUCCAUGAACCAUAAACCCAUGAACCAUAUCUAAGUUCAUGAACCAUAAUCCCAUAUACCCAAUACCAUAAACCUUGUGAACCAAACCCAAACCUUCGACCGAAACGUCGUUAAACUAAUCCACCAAAUCAAUCGACCGAAACGUCGUUAAACUAAACCUAAAUCCGAUAUCGACCGAAAUGUCGUUAAACUAAACUCAAAUUCAAUUUUCAUGAACAUCCCAAUUCCCAAAAUAUUUGAUUCUCUAGCAUAUAAAACUAGAGUCAAAUCACAAUCAUGUUCAAACUUGAUCAAAUUCUAAACCUAUAUUUAGAAUUGAUCAAACCAUCUGAUCAAAUUAAUUUGUUGGAUUCCAAUACAUACACUUGGAGUUUAAUUUAAAUCAAAUAUGACUAAUCCUAAUACAUAUAAUUAGGAUUUAGUUAAUAUUUCACCUUGAGAUGAACCAAAAUCAAAUGUGACUAAGCUCUAAUACAUAAACUUAGAGCCUAAUUGUAUCAGACUCUAAAAUAUAAAAUUAGAGUCUAAUUCAAGAUAUUUGGGACUAAUCCUAACACAUAUAUUUAGGAUGAAAGCUCAAAUCAAACUCUAUUGGACUUUAUUGCAUAUAUUUAAAGUUCAGAGUUUAAUCAAGUUCGAUUAAAUUCCAAUGUAUACAUACGGGAUUUAAUCACUCUUUCAUCUCAUGGUAAACAAAGUUGAGCUCCAAAAUAUAUAGAGCUCAACAAAAUCUGAUCAUCUAUUGGACUUUAUUACAUACAUUUAAAGUUCAAUUAACCAAAUCAAACUCUAAUACAUAUAAUUAGAGUUUAAUCUGAAUUAAAUCUGAUUAAAUUCCAAUGCAUAUAUAUAUGGAAUUUAACCAAUCUUUCAUCUUAGGGUGAAUAGUGUUGAGCUCCACAAUAUAUAGAGUCCAACAAAAUUAAUUUGACCAUAUAUUGGGUAUCUUAGAACAUAUAACUAAGAUACAAUUGAAAAAUACAUUCUUUACGCUCUAUUCAUGUACACUGAGGGUAUGCCCUUGGUUAAAGCCAUGUAAUUGAGCAAUAAAUUAUAAAUUUCCUUUUGUCCAAUUCCAGUUUAUCUUCAGCAUUUCAGAGGUCUCUUAAUCGAAGGUGCCCUAAUAUUCUAUAGGGGUAAUUAACAAUAGACGCUUGCGUUUAUUGGAAGCCAUGGAUCCGCAAUACCUGAUAACCAUACAUACACAUACUUUAAUCUACAUCAUGAAUACUACCCCACGGGAGAAUCAAAAGAUAAAAAUUCCCCGUGCGAGGUGCGUCAUUCGUGGUGGCAGACAAUAAUCGGAGACAAAAGCCCCAAAAUUCAUGCCCUAAUAAUGCCAUAAUGGAAUUUCUCCUAGAUUGAUCUCAUUUCUAAGCAAAUACUAGCUUAGAAUCACCUAGGAAGCUCUCUAAUACUAUUUCCAAGCUAUUUGGACCAUUCCUAGGGCAUCUACUUUAAACCUUAUCUGUUCACCAUAGGAGCACCUUGAGAAAACCAUGGUUUUCAUGGUGUUCAAGGCUCACAAUACUUCUAAACAUGAGAGAAGCCCCAAAACCUUAAGUUUCAUAGUGGAAAUUCAAACCCUAUAUGAGCUUUUGUACUAAAACUCACCUUAGCCAAAAGCUAUCCCCAUGUCCACCUUGAUGGAGAGCUUCUACACCUUCAAAACCUUCAAAAAUCUCCUCCAAGCCUGCUUUUCCUUCUCAUCCAAGCUCUACGGCAAGAUCUCUAGAGAGAGAAAGAGAGAAAUGAAAGGGAGAGAGUGGAGGGGUGUUUGCUGUGAAGGAGAGGAGUGUUGGGUUUAUUAUAGUGUGCAACAAUUACAACUAGGCCCUCCAAAUAUUUGUAUUUGCAACAGAUCAAUUCCUUGCUGCCAGACCAAAGUGUACCAAUACACGGGACUCUGUCACCGGUAACACGAUUACGCAGAGCCAAACCCGAAAGCAAAUUCCUCGAAUUUUACCAAAGUGUACCGGUACACACUACGGGUGUACCGGUACAUUUCUGCGAAAACUCAAACCCGAGAGCAAACUCUUCUCGGUCUGUAGAGCUGUACCGGUGACAACUCGAUGGUUGUACCGGUACACUUUGCCCAGAAUGCUGGUUUUGCACCGUUUUCGAUUCUAUUUUGCGCCGAUCAAUGCUAAAACCUUUUUAACACCUCUUAAACUCAUUUUUUCCCCUUCCAACAUUGUUGGAAUGCUAAAUGCAACUUGCCCAACUAUUUCUUUCGCAUUGUUCACUUUUAAAUCACGCCGAGGAAUGUUAAAACUUGCUUAACACUCUCGGCACUCGACUUUGACUCUUCCAAUAUUAUUGGAAUGUCAACCGGACUUUGUUCAUCCAUUUCUCUCGGUACUUUAACCAAUUUGGCUAAAGUUCGAUAAUCGCUAUCGAGGUUUCGAUACGUUGCAUCCAUGCUUCCCCAAGUUUCAGGUAAUGGUGCCUCGAAUUGCCGUUUUCAAAAGUUCCCACCCGGUGUUUAAUAAAUGAUUAUUUCUUACUUUGGCUUUUUUGGUUAAUCCGAUGGUCGAAAAUUAGAGUUCUUGGGAGUACGAUGAUAGUGAGGAAUCCCUCUACGCUGUGCUCAUGUUGCUGGUGCGAAUCGGAUGAUCGGUGGAAUCAUGAACCUGUUGUACCCGAUAUUGGCUCCACAUGGCCUAUUCUUGCUCUCCGACGGUCAGUGACCGUUGGGUGACUCUGGUGCUUGUUCACGGUAGCCAGAGGCACGUCAUCCAUCCUCGUGCACUUCUGUUUCAUUUCCGGAUUAUGGAAGUUCGGUAAGUUGCUCAAAUUUUCCUUUAUGUUGCUUUAGUUAAUAUUCAUGUGAUUGCAUUAUGAAUUCAGCGUUUCGAUGCUUUUUGCACGGUGGGCAGUGUUGGACAGCGAUGUUUAGUAUGGUUUGAUGCUUGGGCUUGUUGUUGGAGGUCCCAAAACCUCCUGCAGUCGAUUUGAUGCGAAACAACCCAAAUCGGGCCGAAAUCAAAUCGAUAAUGCGGUUUUCGAUUUUGUUAUCACGAAAUCGAUAUUGCUAUUGUCCAAAUUUGUUGUUAAGCUUGUUGGUUGGUCUAGCCUCGUGUUUUGCAUCCCUCGUGACAGUGAGUGCAUUGUGGGUGGUCCCGGUACCGAAAUAGGUAUUUCGAAAAUUCGGUUUGAGUUACUUUUGGAAAUUUAGAACCUCGUGUCGCGUACUUUGAGUGUAGCUGUCCUAAAACUUAAAAUGUGGUGUUUGGGAAUAGCAGAUGUGAUUUGGAGGUGUUUGGUGUGACCCAGUACACUACAUGAGCUGAAGUGGCAUCUCAGUGAGUUUAUGCGAAUUUCGGCGGAAUUGAUAAAUGUGUUCGAUAUUCUGAUUAUGCCAUUGCAUGUUGUGGGUGACUUUAUGUCACCAAUUGGUGAUGUUGUGGUGUUGAGAGUGUCUUGGGGUUGAUUAUAUAGUUCGUGUGUGAUUCGACACUUUCGGAUCUGCGCUUUUCAUUCCCACCAUGAUGUUGUUCCACAAUUGUUGUCCAGUUUGCCGACCACUUGAUGUGUGGGCGUCUAAGCACCUAAAGAUGUGUAUCUUGGAAUUGUGGACAUGUUGUUGUGACUCCCUAUUGAGUUGGCUAGUUUUUGGGCCUAGUUCCAUAAGCUAGUUUGUGGAACUGAGGUUCCGGUCGCGUCGUGGUAUACGUGGGUGUGGGUUGAACGUGUCGGGUGAUAGAAAUAACAUGUAGGAUACUGAUUGUAACAUAUUGUCCCUCGUAAAUCGUGCCGAGUUCCGUCGAAAUGAGCGGAACGCGGAGUGGAACGGGUUUGUAUAGGCUCUAAGUGUAUUGGAGCCUAUAUAAGGUGUUAAGGGACCCGAGAGAGUGAAAUUUCAAAAUCUGGCUAAGUUCUAGAUUUUGUGCUCUCAGGGACCGGUCCCUGAAGGAGAGACCGGUCCCUGUACGUGUAGCCUGCCAGGAAUCCUGAGGCAACCAGUUCCUGGCAGUGAGACCGAUCCCUGAGAAACCGGUCCCUGAGGGAGAGACCGGUCCCUCAUUGCGCAGCCAGCCAGGAAACCCAAAAAUCGGCUAAGUACUGGAAAUCAGCCUUUUGGGAACCGGUCCCUGGUCGGGGAGACCGGUCUCCCACUAUGAGUUUUGCCCAGUAAGGGCUGAUGCAAAUAUUGGGAGUUGAGGGGUCUUGUUGCUAUUGUUGCAACAUGUUAUGUACCCAUCCCCUCUUUCCCUCUCUUCCAUAGCCAUUCCCACUCCCCUCUCUCAUAUUUCCCUCUUUCUCUCUCUAAAAGCUUAGGCUAGGGCUUGGAAGAGAAGGAGAAGAAGCUAGGAGAAGGUGGUUUCAAAGGAUUUGGUGGAUCUAGAAGCUCUCCAACAAGAAGGAGCUUGCUAGAACUUGGGCCAAGGUAAGUUCUAGCGUGUAGAACUCUAGGGUUUGGAUUUUAACCCUAAGUUUUGGGAUCUUGAGUUUGUUUCAAGCUUUGGAAACCUUGUAGAGCUAAGAAACCAUGAAAUCCAUGGUUUUCUUGUAGAGCUCUCAUGGUGGAUCACUAGGGCUCAUGGUAGAUGCCCUAGGGAUGGUUCCAAAGGCCUAGAAACCUUAGUAGAAUGCUUCUUAGAUGAUUCCAAGCUAUUAUUUACUUAGGGUUGAGAUCCAUUUAGGAGCUAUCACAUUAGGGCAUUGUUAGGGCUCAAAUUUGGGGCUUUUGCCCUAGAAUUUUUCGAGGCAAAUUGACCUCGUCGAAACCUAAUUCGGGGUCAAAUGAACGUGUUGGGCAACUCCGUUCGUCGAAACGAAAAUGUUUAAGUAUAGUCCAUGUACAAAGGACCUAAUUUGGGCACUAUUUUGGGUUGUAGGACGCGGAUCGUCGUUCGUAAUGUUCGGGAGAUUAUCGCGUUCGUCUUCUACUACCUCACAAGGUGAGGGGUGCAUUUCAAAAUCGUUGGAUUCCCUUCUAUGUCUAUAUCCCUUGUUAUUUGAGCAUUAUGUACGGUAUCGUCCAUGCAUGAGAAGGUAGUUGUACAUGAGAGUUUUGGUUGUUUACUUAUAUGUUUCUAUCUUGAAUAAACAUAGAAAACGAAAACCAUAAUGGGCAUGUAUGCUGGAACCCUAGAGAUGCAUGAGUAUGAGACUUGGACCUUGAUUAUAGUAAACAAGGGUGACAUUGACAAUAGAGACAAGAUUUGGCAUUGAGAAAAUAAUUGUUAAACAUAGUUUAACCAAGAGUGGCAUUGUGACAAGAUGGCUUAGAAAAUGACAUGAACAAAUAGGUAGAAACCUAUCAUGACAAUGGCAUUGAGGCUAGUGGCUAAAGUAUCCUCAAGUUGAGGGUUGGAUCGAUGCUCACGCGAACUUAGGCUUGAGGGAGGUCGCUGCUCCACAAGCGGUGUACUCCGGAGUGUAGACACCAACGGGGAAGUACCCCGUCGACGAUCCCUCUGGUGGUUGUGCUUAAAGCCUCCCCCGGUAGAUGGGAAAUGGAAUUGUGAGUUAUUGGAGUUAACAAAGUUAACCGGUAAGAUUGGGUAAAGAAAGACAAGGUAAAGAAGAGAACAUGCAUGCAUGCAUAUUAAAUAUUGUUGAUUACAUAUAUCCACUGACCUUCUUUCUGCAGGCAUAGUAUUAGAUGCACUAGUUGUUAUGGUUACUGUUUCCAUUUCCUUGAUAUACUUAUGCCUGGAUAGACCUAGUGGGUAAGUCGGCGAGGUCGGUUGUCGAACCCACUGGGAAUUUCGUUCUAGUUCUCAUUACCACUAACCCUACAGGUCCGAGCGUGAGCGGGGUGGCGGAGGACCGAGGCAAGGGUUUAGCGCUAUAGUUAGUGGCCGCCGGGACAUCAUUCAUUUUGUAGUCAUUUCUCUUUUUGGUAUACAUGUAUCAACUUUCAUUUUGUUGAUUUAGAGUUGUAAAGUUGAAAAAAUAAUUAUGUAGUGAAUGGCUAAAAUUGUAAUGAAAUGAUGAAGGAAUGGAAAACAAUGAAUUAGUAUUGGUUUACUUUUAUUUGGUGCAAAAGCAAUCAAGUACUAUGUAUGUAAUAUGUUAUAGCUUAGAGCUUUCGCUUUCGUUGUUGCUUGCCCUCGUGCAAGCUUUGUAUAAUUGCAAUUCUCAUUGUUUAAUUGCUUUAUUAUACUUGUUGUUAGAGCCUUGGGUGGACAGGGGAGGCUCUGUCCGCUCGGCGUCUAUUGACGUGAUCUGAACCCGACCAAAUUGGCGGGGAUUGGGGCGUGACACUGAUGGUGGUUUUUGGUGGUACUUCUUAGGUAUAGGUGAUGGUUAGAUACAUCGGUCGAGUCGAGAACUCAGAUACUGGGUGAGGUGAGUGCUCCAUUCCAAAGUCGGUAAAAUUGUAUCUUAGUCGGCUUCCUCUUAUGUUUGAUCUAUUCUAUAUAGUGGUUGAGUAGGACAACAUGUCGUGGCUUCAUAUUGGUAUAUGCUUUUACUCUAUAUGCAUGUUGCUUGUUAUGUUGGUUAUCAUGUCGAUUCUUAGUCUCUUGAUUAAUUUUUCUUUAUAGUUGUUGUUUGAUAUGUAGAGUAGGUGGUGAUCUGGUGUAUUAUCCACCUAUCCAUGAUAGGACCUAAUUGGUCGGUGUGUAUUCCUUGUUGAGUAUUGAUUAUGUGGGUUCAUUGAUUUAUCCCUUGUGCAAUUGGACCCCCAUCGGUCUGCUAUCCUACUAUGUGUGAUUUUAUUUUGUAAGUUGGCACUCUUUUUACGAGAUUGACUAUAGAAGUUGGUAGACUCACUGUGUUCAUGAUUGAGACCCCAACAUGCUACUCCUUUGCUCCCUUAUAAUUAUCAUCAUCCUCGUCGUGUAGCAUGCUAGUUGACGCGAGAUUUCCUCUUGGCUCUUCUUGUCGCCUGUGGGCAGUAAUUUGACUAUGAAUGAGCUUUGAGUACACACAUGUGGUUAUAGCUUGUGACGGCACUGUAGUAGUCUUAGAACAUGGUUCACAACCUUGAGUUCUUCAGUUACCAGCCCAGUGGGAGGUGUUGUUUCAUGGCUACCCUAAGUUCUUCACCCCUAGAUUUGGUGUACACCUCUCUUAGACAGAGUUAUCGACAUUGGGUGUAGGUGGUUAUGUUCCUCCAGAGUGGUACUUGAUUUUUGUUCUUCACGACCUAGUGGGCGAGCUUAGGCCGGUCUUUAUGACAAGUCAUGGUGAUUGGGUAUAAUUUGGACUAUUCUUAUGUCCAGUUGAUGCAUAGUAUCUCUGAUAGAGUUAUGCAUGGUGUUCAAGUAGUUGUUUGGAUUACAGUAGCGGUAUUCCUCAUUAGUGACUUAUGAUAUUUCGUUAUUUAUCAUCUUACUACUAUAGUUGGUGUUCCUAUUGCAUUGUAUAUGACUUUUAUUUACAGUAGCGGUAUCCUUUGGUUAGUUGUUCAUGAUAGUUAUUCACUUGUUAACUUGCUAUUGCUAUUCAUAGUCAUUGCAUUCAGUACCUAGCUUUAUGUUUAUAAUAGCAGCAUUAUUCUGUAUUCUAGUUCAUGACACUUAUCUAUUUACAUUAUGCUACUGUGAUUGACUUGUCCAUAUUUGCAGUUAUUCGUUUAUUGCACUCCUUUGUUUACCAGUGAGUGCGACUUGCCCUCGUCAGCUGGUUCGUCCUAGUGGAAAACAUAUUUAUAUGUCUCUCACUUUACUGUUUUUACAAGUGUCACUGACAGUGCGCGUUGGGGCACGGUAUGAGGAUGCGAUUAGCAAGCGCCUAGAUAGCUCGUGCUGUCGAGUUAGUUCUAGAUUUAUUCUUAUUCAUUAUAUUUAUUUCAUGUGGAGGUUUUGUGAUUUGGUUAUUGUGGUUUGAGUUUAGCUAUUGUGUUGGGUUUUCCUAUUAUAGUGGUUUAGCGGGAUCCUAAUUAUGGUUUUGAAUAGUUACAAGUUGUGGUAGCUUCCAUAUGUACAUCUACCUUGUUCAAGUUGGUUGUGGUUGCGUUUUUGUGCUCGUAAGCCGUGCAUGUAUAUGGGAGACUCUGUCCGCGUGGACUGUAGUGUCCCUAGGACUUAACUGUCGGAAUAACUACAAUAUUAAUGACUAGUCGACACAUUUAUAGAGUGUCAGAAAUAGUCGAAGUCGUUUUGGCGCAAAUAGAUGCGAAAACGGACUCGACGCACUCAAAUAAGCAAAAACUGAUGUUCUGACAGUUUAGGGUGCCCAGAAGCUUAGGACACAUCGAUUCAGAGUGCUAUUUGGUAUAUGUUGCUAAAGUCAUUACAGACCCAGUUUAGAGUGCCCAAAAUAUGCGCUCAAAUUCUUCCUCGUGAAUAUCGAUUGUUUUGACACGUGGCAUGUGGUAGGUUUGAGUUGCAAAUGGAGGUUAGGCACAUCGGACCGCCACACGGGUGAGUCCUUUUGCUGGAUGUAGUGGUAAGCUGUUUGCGGCACCCGAAUUAUGGGUUUAGGGUGCCCGAAUCUGCAUUUUCAGUGCUGAAAUAGGUUAGCUUCUGUUUUUCUUGUGGCUUAUUCUACCCAUCUAUUGCUUAUAUUGCUUCUAUAAAAGGCUGUGGAUAACUCCUGAGAGCUCUUUUACUUCAUCUUUCACAUCAAGCUUGAAUUCCUCAUCUAAAUCACCUCCAAUUUAGCUCAAAUCCAUCUAUUGUUCCCUGUGAGUAGGCUUCACAGCAGGAAAAUCCAGCAACAACUUCAACAAAGAAUGGAAUUGUGAUUUUUUGAUGCUUCCGAUUGCUGUGGGUAAUUCUUUGGUGGAAUGUAGACUUGAAGGAAUGUGUUUGGAACAAUCCUAUAGUAAUUAAUUAUAGGUUAAUUAGUGAUAUUAAAUUGCUGAAUUUAGCUUGACUUGGAGAUUUUGAGCUGAUUUUGGAAUUUUAUUAGAGUUCAUGGAUUCGAAUCCCAUUUCAACCAGAUUUUCGAAGUUGAAUCAGUUCCUACACCUUUCUUGGGUAUUUUAGGUGUUCUUUCACUAGGAAUUUCAAAUUUGGAAGGUCAGUUUAAUUCAGAAUUUUAAAUUUUUGUGUAAUAGAGCAGUUUUGGGAGACUUCGCUUGAUUUUAAUGAAAUUUUGGAUCCAGAUUUUUAUAGUGAGUUGAUUGCUGGAUUUGGAUUGGUUAUUCUCUUAUAUUUGGAGGUUUUAGACUCCUUUCCAUGGAAUUUACAAAUUAGAAUUCUUAUAUUCUAGCUUGAAGUGAGUUGAAGUGCUGAGUGCUAAUUUUUUGAAUGCUGAUUUGGGCAUUCUUUUCUGGAUCCGAAUUGUCUUGAAGGACUUUUGGUUGCUAUUUUAGUUGAGAACUGGUGAGGCAACACACCUGGGUGAUUGGUCCUAUUACUAGGAGGUGAGUUUGAGUAAUUUUAGCACUUUAAUUCUAGAUUUUGCUCUGUUGAGCCUGUUUGAAAUAAUGCCAUUUUGGUUGGUGAUGUUACUGAUUUGUGCUCAGCCAGAACUUGUUGUUUCGGGAUCCAACAGUGAGGCUAUUGUGUGAAGGACUUAAGUUGGGCUUGUUGAUCACGGUAUUCCUUUCUAUGGUUGGAUUAGCUCUUCAGAUUGGUUAAUGUCUACCGAAAUUUGUGAAAUUUUUUCAAAGUUGUAGAGAUUUCAGCAUGCAUUAUUUUGUAUCAAUCAUCAUGUUUAGUGGCUUAAAUUGUAGACUUGCAUGUUAAUGUAUGAAAUCUGAUUUUGGAGUAUGAUUUAGAUAUUUUAGAUGAUUACUACAUGCUGAAUUGAAAAUCAACUUAGGAGAAAACGUACACAUUGAACUUGUCAUUUAUUCGAUCAGAUUUAGCUACAGAAGCUUUUUUUUACUAUUGUAUUGUAGAUUUUACUGCGUCGCGGAUACUUAUACAUUAGUAUAGGUAGAGAUUAGGCUCAUAUUGAGAUACCAAGUGGAUUUUAUAGUAAUGUUUAGACUGUUUGUAAGACCCUAGAUAUUCCUAUAUAUAAGAUAUAAUAGGGCUGAAACUCUUAAUCCAACUUAAGCAUUUUGGGUAGUGGGUAGGCCCAAAAGGUUAAGAGAGUUAAGCAUGCUAGGACGAGAGUAGUCCUAGGAUGGUUAACCCCUAGGAAGUUAAGGCGUUACACUGUUUCGCAUUGUCGGGUGCCAUUCGGAUUAAUGGUAAACCCAGAUCCUUUCUUUUGUAUAAGAUUGUGUCGUGUUAAGGAUAUUUCUAAGUUGGCGAAGUUCGUGAAGUCGAAUGGAGUCUUAAAAAAGUGAAGAUGGAGAUUGAAGAGAUGAUUCAAGUAAUUCAAGAUCAAAAGACUCGUUCGGUGAUGCUCGGAACCCCAGGUAUGGAUAAGAAUAAUUUGUGGUGCAAUAUUGAUUUAUAAACAUAUUUGGAAGACUUAGGAUGGUUUUAAAAUCAAUUCUAAUCAAAAACUAAGUUUUUCAGGGUUCGGGGACCGGUCCCUGAACUGGGGGACCGGACCCCGUAGGUUCUCUCUGCGUGGAAACUACGAGGGACCGGUCUCUGUUCUUGAAGGACCGGUUCCCGUAAGGUGUCUCAUUUGAUACGAUCAGAGGGACCGGUUCCUGAACUGAGGACCGGUUCCCGUAACUUGAUUUCCACAUUACGCAGAGACAGACCGGUCUCCGACUUGAAGGACCGGUUCCUGUGGCUUGUGUUUUCAACCAUGCAACGAGGGACCGGUCCCUGGCUUUGAGGACCGGUCCCCCAAGGACCGGUCUCUUCGGAAGGACCGGACCCUAAGACCGUCGUCAGUUUUUAAAAUUGUGUUUUUGAAAUUCUAGUCUAUCUAGAAGUCUUCUAAACCUAUAAAUAUGAUAUGAGGAGCCCCAUAUGACGCAAGCUUAGAGAGAAAACUUUUUAGAAAUCCUAACGGCUUGAUUCGAAGCUUUUGAUCUAUGUUUUACAAAUCAAGUUUUUCUUUGAUCACCGAUUCGGUUCUUUGAUGUUUGAUUUCAAUGGUUCUUUAAGGAUCAAAUCGGUGAUGUUCUAAUUAGGGUUUCUCCUCAUAUCAUAUGUGCUUUCUAAGUUUUUAAAUCACCACAAAGUAUUAACAUUCUUCGAGCUACGGAUGGAGCGUUGGCGCGUGGACUUUGCGUGAAGGCCGUAGAUUCGGUGGGUGCUUCGUGGAUUCGAGACGUGUUUGCUGCGAGGGCUUGCAGCGUGAUCGGUUGAAGGAGUUCGAUCGAUCGAGGACCGGCGAAGGCGAUCUACAACGAGGAUUCGGUAAAUUGAGUCGUGUAUUUUCGGUAAAUCACUUGUACUCAAUUUUUCAUAGUGGAUUGUUUUGUGUGAUUGGUCCCGUAGGUUUUUCUCUCCGGAUUGGAGUUUUUUCACGUUAAAUCUCGGUGUUUGGUUUUAUUUUUCGCUAUUAGUUUUAUUUUGCAUCGAGAGAUUUGUUUUUGCCAUUUACACCUAUUCACUCCCCCUCUAGGUGUUAUUUAUCUUUUAGAUCUUUAGGAUUCAUAUCUUACAUGCUUGGUUCCUAGAUCUAUUUGAUUAUUUGCAUCGACUAUAAACUGCGUGAGCCUAAUUGAGCUCGACACAGUGUGCUCUUUUGCUCAACUAAGUAUCUUCCCUGAGUGCCACUCCGGAGUAAGGCCUUCUUACAUUCUUGUCGCAGUAGUCCUUUUUAUGCAUUCAACUUAGACCUUGUGGGUAGUGUACGGAGUAGCAUGGGCAUAGGCUGGACUUGCCGGUUGGCGGUCGCUUUGGAUUGAGUCAAUUGUAAUUGUUUCAUAACUAGUAAUGCAUAUAUACACAAAGAACAUGAUAUGAGUAGUGGUAGUGUAAUGGCGUAUUAGCUAUAGAGUUUAUUCUAGCUUACCAUAUUGUUCUUUUACCUACCAACUAUACUGUUAAUUUUGUAGAUUUAGUCGGUAGGCUGUUGGGGCCAGUGACGAUAUACACUAAGGACUACUUUGUUUGUAAUAGUUUUCACACCUAUUGUUGUCAUUUUUUCUUAUAGAGCCUUCGGCUGCUGCUGUAACACACUGAACUUUAGCAUAUUGCGAUGUUCCAGUGUUAGAAUAGCGUUUUAAGCUAUUUCCGGUGUUUUUGUUGGUCGUUGACUGAGUACCGACCCAUUUCUCGUGUUGCAGGAAUGCGCGAAAGAGAACUUAGCAUCAAAACCUCCAAACUGCAGGUUUUGGGGUGCUGCGUACCGGUAGCAGAGAGAAGGGGUACCGGAACUCUCCUGUAUAACCGAGAAAAGCUGCUCUCAGGUUUGAGCUGUUGGGUGGUCUGGUACCGGUACGGCAUCGGCUGAGUACCGGUACGCCGCACUGUUUCUGCUUGACCGAGGCUCGGGUUUGGCAGUUUUGUUGACCUGGUACCGGUACUCUUUCCCGCAUACCGGUACGCACUGCAAAAAUUGCAGUUCAUGCAGUUUGCAAUUUCUGGUGUUUUAAGGGGCUUUUUGGGGUUUGUUACAAUAUGUUAUAUAACCCCCUCAUCUCCCUCACAGCACCCUUUGUGCUGAGCUUGGAGAAGGAGAAAGCUAGGGUUUUUCUCCCUUUUUCUCUCUAGAUUUCUCCCAAACUUCUUUUAAUUUGAGGUUUGAUCUCUUUGUCUUCUUCUUCUUUAUGGUGGCAAGCUUGUAGACCUUGGAGGAAGCUUGGAUGAGAAGAGGAGAGCUUCUUGGUGGAUUAAUCUUCAACCCUACCUCAAGAUAGCUUGAUUUGGAACUCUCUUGAAGGUUAGUACCCAUCUUGCAACCUCUAUUUGUGAUUUUUGCAAGAUCUGGAGAUGAAAACCUAGUUUUGAAAAAACUAGGAUUUGGUUUGGGAUUUCUUGAUUUGAGGCUUUUGGAACUUAAUUGAUGAGUAUAGAACUCUUCUUUAGGUUAGAUUUGAAGAUCCUUUGGAUUGAUAUAUUUGAGCUUUGGACAAGUGUAGCUUGAUCAAAGGUGAUUUUCUACCUCUUGUUGGGUUGGUUAAAGUUAAGCUUGUGGGGUGUUCGUUCAUUACCCCUAACCCUUUUAGAAAUUUAUUUAGGGUACUAGGAGCUUGGUGGACAACUUCGUUCGAAGGAAUGAAAUGGUUCGAAGAUCAUCCGGUGGGUUUGACCUCACCGAAAUGGGUAAACUCCCUCUAUGUCUUCCUUAUGGUUUUAAGACAUAUUUAGAUGCUUAUUCAUGCUCAUUAUGACAUGCUAGAAUUUAUGAAGACAUAAUAUGUACAUGUUAUGUAUAGUAAAAAUUUAUGCUCUAUGUAGUAGAGGCAUUGUUCGGAGCCGAAUUUCCUGAUCCUUGACCCGGUCAAAGAUCUUCCUCGGAGAACGUGUAGGGAUGAAAAACAGCUACGAAUAGUGACCCUCGAAGUUUGCGCCCUUCGACUGGAUCAAGCGAUUCGGCUGAUGAGGGAUCGAAUCAGCCGAGUUCGAAGACCUUUACUUUAGACUCGGUUCGGCUGGAAGAGCCGAAUGUACAGAAUGCACAAAGUUUUAGGUCGGCUGAUGAGCCAAAUAGAUGGAAUACACAGAAACUGGUCAACUGAAAGAGCCGAAUGCCUUUAUAUAUUAAAAUGAAGUUGGGAACUCAUACAAAACAGAGUGUGCCCGAAGAGCAUACAAACUCUGAAAAUCUAGAUUAUAACAGAGUGUGCCCGUGGGGCAUACAGACUCUAGGGAUCUAACUUAAAAACUACUCUUAGAAAAGCAAUAAAUUUAGGUAAAAAAGUUUACAUGUAGACUACUCCUAGAAAACGAUAAAUGUAGGAAAGGAAAGUAUUGAAAACGCGGCGGUCUUCUCGUUCAGGGGAGAGAAAGACCUUUAUUACAGGCUUCAAAGUUACUAUUAUAAUAUCUUAUCAGCCCACAUUAUUAGUUGGUUAUAGUAGUGAGGGAAGUGGUGUAGCCAUGAUCAUAGAAGUUACGCUCCACUUCUCAUGGAAGUUACGCCCCACUUCACAUGGAAGUUACGCUCCACUUCACAUAGAAGUUACGCCCCACUUCACAUGGAAGUUACGCCUCACUUCUCAACCGUUCCCGCCUAAACACUCUUGACCUUCAGGCGCCCUAUUACCGACUCCUGGUGUACCACGUGUCCUUAUUUCUUUAGCUCAUAUGUGGGUUACGUCGGCGUGUUAAUUUUAAAUUUGGCAUCAACAAUGCCCCCCCAAUAGUCUUUCGAAUAAACAUUUGGAUGACUAUUGGUGCCAAAUCGACUACUCAAUGGCACAGCUGAGACCUAAGCUUUAGUUUCGCUGGUUUUGGUUGGCUUAAAGAAAGCGACUCUUUAUCAUCCCAGCCGUAUAUACCUCAGCUUCAUCAGUCGAUUCUUUACUUUUACUCGAUUGGUUCGGCUCUUCUUGAACUGAAUGUUCUUCUAUCAAGAAUUUCUCUUUGAAGAAAGCGGCUCUUUACCAGCCGCAUAUACCUCGGCGUCAUCAGCCGAUUCUUCACUUUCACUCGAUUGGCUCUGCUCUUCUUGAACCGACUGUUCUUCUAUCAAGGAUUUCUCUUUGCCUUUGCUUUGCUUUUUAUAUCGGCUCUAUUACAGCCGAUUGUCCUUACUUUUUUUUCAAAAUUGCUCAUAUUGGGCAACUCGAACACCUAGAUCAAAUAGGUUAGAAAAAUACUUAUCUUCAAAAUAGUCUUUUAUCUUAAAAUGCAGACCAUUUAACGUCAUUUUGGCGAACUCUAAUUCCGGCAUUCUCAUAAAGCACCGGGUAUUGGCUAUUUUGAAACUGUUCAAAUACUCUUUGACCGUUUCACCUGACUUUUGUUGGUAUAAAGCCAAGUCGGCAACCGAUAAUUGUGGCUUCGACCUAUAGAAUUGCUCAUGAAAUUUUCUUUCCAAUUCGUCCCAAUCUUGGACGGAAUUGGCUGAUAAACUUGUAUACCAAGUAAACGCCGUUUUAGUUAACGACGUGUUAAAUAAUCGAAGUUUCAAAAAUAAGUCAGCGGUCGCUUCUCUACAUGGGGCCGUGAACCGGGCUAUAUGCUCGACCGUAUUCUCGGUCUCAUCGCCCGAGAACUUAUCGAACUUCGGCAUUUUUCAGUUUGCCGGAUAUGGAUCCUCCACAUCGAUGUUCGCGGGAUAAGGAGAUUUAAACACAGGCAGCAUUGCCAGCCUUGCGCCAACUCCAAAAGUAUUUCGGAUGGCUUCUUCAAUCCGUGCGUAUAUUUCAUUAUUGUUCCCCUACAAAGGAACCUGUGCUUGUAUUACAUUCGGUCCUUGCGGUAAACCGAAAUUCGGUAUAAUAGGGUUAACUCCUUGCAUAUUCGGAGCCUGCCCCCUAGCCCUUACGCCUACAUUUUGGGGCUGGUAAGCUGGUAAAGGAGGUAAACACAAUGCCAUCUCCGACUGCGGGCCGGCGUUUAUAUUCGUCGGCCUAUAAGCAGCCUGGAAAGGUGCCAUUUGCGGUUGCGCCUGUGAAACCGCCGGCGUGAUGGGAUUUUGUUGCACCGGGCAUAUUUAGGGGCCCCUGUUGCCCCCCGUAAGGUUGCUCAUUUCGAGUAAAUAACUGUCUAAUUCGAACAAUAUUUUCAUUGUAGGCCGUUAUGGCGGCCAACACCGUGUCUAGUUGAGCGGUACUUUGAUGGAUAUUUUGAUCAACAGUUUGCAAGACUCGGGUCAUAUGGCCGAGUGCCUGAGUGUAAGGAAGUGAAUUCUUGAAAUCCGGGGAUUAGACUUCGUUUAGAAUUGACUAAUUGUCGAGUGAGUAGGUUUCGGAAAGUCUAAAGGUGAUUAAAAUGCAUAAGGUGCAUUGAGGAAGAGUCCGCGAGAGCAUCAGUGCAAAACCUGCACUGGAGCAAAAUUGCUCUCGGGGACCGGUCCCCGGCAGGGAGGGACCGGUCCCAUCGGCUGGUGUGGCGGGGAUCCUUGAUGCAACCGAUCCCUGGCAGGGAGGGACCGGUCCCCAAACGUCAACCCAGCGAGAAAGACCGAAAUUUGGCUAAGUCCCAAAAAUCCAACUCUCGGGAACCGGUCUCUCAGGCAAGGACCGGUCUCCCAGGGACCGGUCUUUCAGGCUAAGAUCGGUUCCCGAACGUGAGAUUUUCCUCUGCCCGAAUGGGAGGCUCUCGGGGACCGGUCUUCCCGACCUGGGACCAGUCCCUCACUGCGAAAUUGCCCAGUGAGGGCUGCUUUGUAGAAUGGAAAGUUGAGGGGUUUAAUUGCAAAAUGGCCUAUAUGAGAGAUGGGGAACCCUUUUCUCUCCCUCACUACUCUCUUUUCCCCUCACACUCUCACCCUUUCUCCCUUACUCUCUCUCUAGAAAGAAAAGAAGGAGAAGAAAAAGAAGAGGAAGAAGAAGAAGGAAAAGAAAAGAAAGAGGGGGGAGAAGACUAAGAAGAAGAAGAAGAUCAUCUUCUUCUUCCUCAAGCUAGGAGCUCUAACCCUACAAUGGUAUUUCUAGGGUUUAGGGUUCUUGUUGUUUGGAGAUGGUUUUAAUGAGACCUAAUGGAGUCAAAUAGAUGAUUCUAGCAUGAAUCUAAAGCUUGAAUCAUGGAUUUCUCCGUGGUUGCAACCUAGGGCUCCGAUUUGGGAUUUUUGGAAAUCUAGGGUUUAAUAUAUUUUAAUGGGUCAUAAACCUAAUUGCUAAGUCUUCGAACGCGUAGGCGAAGACGGUCCUUCGUUACGACGAGCGAGUGCGAAAAUAUCGCCGGAACAAGUGCUCGAGGGUUCGGAUUAGCCUGAAGAGUCGAGGCGACGACGAAGGAUCACGGCGUCGAGUUUACUAGCUACACGGUAGUACCAAAAAGGUGGGGGUGCUAUCCCGAAGCAGUUGAACUGCUUCCUAUGUCUAAGUCAUCAUGUUGAUCAAGUGCUUAUUGUAUUAUUGCAUUAUAGGGUGCUGAAUGUAAUUGUUACAUUUUAUUGCAUGCUAGAGUUAGCUUAGCUUCGUGGAUAUAGCGUCGAACCUAGUAUGCAUGAGUUGAACAGGAGAUAGUCAACCCUAUAUGUGAUGAAUGUGUUAUGCGAAUGAGAACCUAGUAUGGAAUAACUAGUAUAUGAGAACAUUGAACCUUGGCGAGUGGCAUCUAGUUAAUGUUAACCUUGACGAGUGGCAUCUAGUUAAUAUUAACCUAUGAUGAAUAGCUAUGAGAACCUUAGUGUGGUUGGUAACACUAGAGUGAUGAGUAUGGUAUUUGCUUGCAUAUAUGAUGAUACUAUCCUUAGUUGACAAGAUGUUCCCAGUUUGUGAAGGUUUGGAUCGAGCUUACAUAGCCUAUCUGCGCCUGUGGUGGUAGCUCCACACAGGUAGUGCACUCCGGAGGUUGUCACACGAGGGGGGGCCAAUGUAGUUGCCCUUGGACUAUUGUAGCUGUUCGCAGGCGGUCUCGGGGGUAGUUGAGUAGCUAGUCUCCUCCCCUAUGAGACUUACACACAUGAGAUUGUGAGCAAGCCUCGAGUUCGCAGAGGGAUUGGGUAACCUGAUGAGUUCCACGUUUUUGUGCAUAGUAGUAUAUUAGCUACAGGUUUCACUAUGAUGUGCAUGCAUGCAUUAUACAGAUUGAGGCAUAGUUAGAUGUUGUAUAUAUAUAUAUAUGUAUAUCUGCUUAAAUGUUGCCGAUGCUUUCAAUUACAGGUAUCUAUCUAUCUGUCUAUUGUCUCUCUAUGCCUGCUUAGACCUAGUGGGGAGAUCGGCGGAGCUGGCGGCCGAACCCACUGGGAACUAUGAAAGAUAGUUCUCACCCCACUCUCUAUAGGUCCGAGUUCGAGUGUCCCCGGCGAGCGCGACGAUCGUGGCAAGGGCAUAGCGCCCUAGGGGUAUCCAUAGCUAGCUUUACUUCCUUCUGCAUUAAUUCCACUCUAUGUUUUAUGUUUAAGAGUAGAUGAUGUAUAGGGUGAGGUUUUGAGAGUGAUUGUACAUAUGUUUUGGAAGAAUGUAAAGGUUGAAAUAAUUGUAUCAAAGUUAAUGAAUUCAAUAGUUAAGUAUAUCUCUCUUUUGAUCACUUAUAUGCUUUACUCGUGUUGCUUACUCUUGGUUGAUAUGCACUGUUUGCGCUUCGUUAUCGUUGUAUGAUCAUGUAUGUAAUCAAGUGUAUUUCCUGGGAACUUGUGUACAUGAUCUCAUCGUUUGAGCCUUGGUCGGGCAGGGGAGUUGCUGUCCGUUCGGCGGUCCGUUCGCCGCGCCCGAACCGGACCAAAUUGGUAGCGGUCUCGGGGCGGGGGCGUGACACUGAGUUAAACUCGGCUCUUGAUAAGCCGGCUGUUCACUAGUCUCUCCUCCAACAGGUAGUACCGCCUAAUUCUUAUUCGCAUUUUUGGCGCUACCAGCUUGGUCAUUCCCUGAAGGCCUGGGAAUGGCUCUAUUUAGGAGGUUCAUAGCAUUAUCGUCAGCCAUAGGACAAAGUCUAGAUUAGGAAUACCUGAGUGUGUCCCACUGGGCGUGCCAAAAAUUAUUAGGAGCCGAAUUCCCUGAUCCUUGACCCGGUCAAAGAUCUUCCUCGGAGAACGUGUAAGGAUGAAAAACGGCUACGAAUAGUGACCUUCGAAGUUUGCGCCCUUCGACUGGAUUAAGCGAUUUGGCUGAUGAGGGAUCAGAUCAGCCGAGUUCGAAGACCUUUACUUUAGAUUCGGUUCGGCUGGAAGAGCCGAAUGUACAGAAUGCACAAGGUUUUGGGUCGGCUAAUAAGCCGAAUAGAUGGAAUACACAGAAACUGGUCGACUGAAAGAGCUGAAUGCCUUUAUAUAUUAAAAUAAAGUUGGGAACUCAUACAAAACAGAGUGUGCCCGAAGAGCAUACAGACUCUGAAAAUCUAGAUUACAACAGAGUGUGCCCAUGGGGCAUACAGACUCCAGGGAUCUAACUUAAAAACUACUCCUAUGAAAGCAAUAAAUGCGGGUAAAAAAGAUUACAUGUAGAUUACUCCUAGAAAACGAUAAAUGCAGGAAUGGAAAGUAUUGAAAAUGCGGUGGUCUUCUCGUUUAGGGGUGAGAAAUACCUUUAUUACAGACUUCAAAGUUACUAUUUAUAAUAUCUUAUCAGCCCACAUUAUUGGUUGGUUAUAGUAGUGGGGGAAAUGGUAUAGCCAUGAUUAUGGAAGUUACGCCCCACUUUUCAUGGAUGUUACGUCCCACUUCAUAUGGAAGUUACGCCCCACUUCACAUGGAAGUUACGCCCCACUUUUCAACCGUUCCCGCCUAAACCCUCUUGACCUUCAGGCGCCCUAUUGCCGACUACUGGUGUACCACGUGUCCUUAUUUCUUUAGCUCAUAUGUGGGUUAGGUCGGCGUGUUAAUUUUAAUUUUGGCAUCAACAAGCAUACAUGUGGAUUUAGGCACUACAUGACACUUCUUGAUGAUUUCUCUCUUAUGCAACUAUAGGAAGCAUGUUAGAGUAUGAAUGUUGGUAUAACUCCUUGAGGGAACCUAGAGAAUGGGUUAGAUAAGUGGUUAAAUUACAUGAGGACAAUAUUACACUUGUUAUAGACAAGGUGAAUGGAACUUAGCAUUUCUUGCAUGAUAAUAUUAUACUUGUUAUAGACAAGGUAGUUGUGACAUUGUAACUUGGUACAUUUAACCUAGUAGAACAACUAGUAUUGGCCAUUGUGAUAUUGCAUUCGAUUUAGGGAUCGAUAUUUAUAUUCCUUGUUUUAGACAUGAGGAAAUGAGAGUGUAAAGCCUUUGAGGUGAACCCUAAUAGAGAUAAUGGCAUGUAAUACUAGUGGAAUUUAGUUGCUUGCAUGAUAAUACUUCUACUCCAUGUAAUGGAGAUUUUAGCAGAAAGACAUAUGCAUAAUAUGUAUUGUGGUACCUAUGGACAUUUCAUAAUUCUCUUGCAUAUGGCAUUAGUAAAUAUUUCUCUUGACAAUUAUUGGAACUGCAUGUCAUAAACCUGUUUGGAGUCUUGUAUAAAAUAGUGAACUAUCCUAGAUAGGAUAAUGACAUAUGAACUAUGCAUGCUUUAGGCAUUAUAUGUGUUGGUAGAGACAUACCACCCAAGUAGUUGUUAAACAAGACAUGACAUGAAUGAUUUAGAACCCGACCGUCGAGUCGAUGAGUGAGAAUUCCAUAUUUUAGACAUGAUGAUUGAGUAUCCCAAAUUGUGGACCCUAUACUAUGAUCACACUUGCUUGCCCUUGUGCUCAUUCGCACAUACUUGUGAGGGUCGCUCCCUACAAGCCAGCACUCUGGAGUUUAGCCUUGCGACGAUAGAUCGCCCGUGUGGGAUUGGGCGCCAAAGUGGGAUGCCGUGGGCGGAGUCUCUUUUCUUGUAGGGAAAAUGAUGACUCCCACGGGGCCACUAAGGCACGGCACGAGCCGGGACGUUAUCACGUGUACGUUCCUUGUAAAUUGAGUAUUGAGACUUAACUUGACAUUGUACAUCACCGUAAUGGAUGCAUACAUGGUAAAUAUUCAUACAUGUGGUUUGCUACCUUAUAUUACUACUUGAUGCAUUCAUAAUAGUUGGACAUUUUGUGGGACAUCAUGACAUUAACAGCUUUAGUGGUAGUACACCUAUACUUAUGUGGAUUAGUAUGCACGCAUGGCUAGGAUAACAAUGAAAAGCACAAUUUACUCUAUAUAGCAUCAUGGACAUUAUGAAUAUGCAUGUAAUUUGACAUUGGCAUACAAUUGAACAUGCAUGUAAACUGACAUUGGCAUAUAGUUGAAUAAAUGAAAUUUGACCAUCUUAUACUUGAUAGUUAAUCUUUUAGUAGAGGCAUGACUAUGGAAUGAACAUGUUUAAUUUACUUACCUUUCAUAUAUUGCUUAAUUAUCACCUUAUAGCAUGCCUCAGUUGACCUCGUGGUGUAUUUCGCCACCCUCGGCGGCUUAUCCACUGGGAACUAUUGUUUAAUAGUUCUCACCCCCAUUUGUUGUUGGUUUUUGUUUCAGAACCUUCCGCGGCGGGAGAGGUUAUAGGGAUCGUGGCAAGGGGUUAGCGACUUGCUAGAGCCCCUACGGAGCUAUUUAGAGGGACCCGACAUCAUCUUUCUUUUUGUAUCUUGUGGAAAGAUGUAUUAUAUAUUUGAUUUAGAGAUGUUGUUAGACUUUCGGAUUUAGUUGUAUACACUUUGUAUAUUUCGUGGAUCCCUUUGUGAUAGAACAUUAGUAAUUUUAUAUUACUCGUUCUGAUAGCCUUGUUAGGACUUGAUCUUGUUCAUCCUUGUAUUAGUAGACGCCUUGUGUGCAUUCUAGUUGUUUGGUGUACACGGCGGGUCUGUGCACGCGUCGGGCGGGUUUCCGCUAGACCGGGGUGUGACAGCUGCUGUUGCUUCUGAUCGAGAUAAGGGAAUCACGAACUUGAUCCCUACCUACCCCUGUCGACAUGCUAGAGGAGUACUCUUUUUGGAGCUAGCUUACUUUUGUUUAGUCAUAUACAUACAAUUGUUUUUUAUUUUUCACUGUCCGCUGUUGUGAGGUGAUGUUAUUGUACUUUUGGAUUAUGUUAUACACCUUCAAUUACAUGUAUGUACGUCAAGUGACUAUUUAUUUCUAUUUUAAUAGCUCUAUUACUCUCUAAUAGUGGUUCUUGUACUAUUUACAAGUGCUUCUAUCACUCUGUGUACAUAAGGUUUCUUGUGUAUUCGGCGUAUCUGUUGGCGAGCCAGUUAGAGCUGGAGCCCGGAGCGUCACAUGGACAGAGGAAUCUCUAUACGUGUGGCGGGUUUGUGAACAUAUCGGGCAAGGUUUCAAAAAGAAAAAAAAAUUAUACAUUUUUCCGCAAACUUUAUUUUCAAAAAUGAUCACAGGGUAUAACAAUUUAGUUCGACUAUAUAAGGCAAUAGUGAUCAAAUAAUUAUAGUUAAUAGUUAAUAAGUAAUUAAUAAUAAUAAAAAUGACAAAUCACAUAUCAUAUUAUCGCUAGAUAAUAAUAAUAUUAAAUAAUAAUUUAAACUCAUAAGUAUACAUUUCAUUAGUUAUUAUUAACUAUUAACCAUAAGGGCCUAUUUGGUUUCUUGAAAAAUAGUAGAAAACUAUUUUCUAAAGAAAAAAGUUGUUGGGGAAAAGAAAUUUUUUAGUUUCUGUUGUUUGGUUCGAUGGAAAAGAAAAAUAGUUUUUUAUGUACGCGUGUAGUCACGCCCCGGAUUACUCGUUUCUCCGGGCACGUCAACAGACCCACCGUAUAAAUAAGAAUUUUUUCUAUAUACGAAGCGAUAGCUGUACCUGUACCUGUAAUAUACAAUACUACAAUCAGUAGUAUAGAGCUGCUAAAAAGAAUAAUAUAUAAAUAAAACUGGUUCACUAUACAUACAUAGCAUCCUGGUACAAAAACACUCGCUCCAGCGAGGAUCUAACAUCAGUAUGUACAAGAACCAAAAACUACCACUCCCUGUAGCUGGUAUAUCUCUAAGUCAGUAGCAAAACGGGAAGGGAUCUAGCUCACAACUCCCUUUCCACAAUCGAUAACCGCGACAGAAGCAGCCGAAGAGGAAGGCUCUGCAAAAAAAGAGGUAACAACUGGGCGUGAGAACUACUGCAAAAAUAAGCAAUCCUCAGUGGUACCGCCCUCAAUCUCAUCGGCUCACCCACAAAGUCUACUACAGAUGUAUGCUCAAAUAAUAGUAAAGGAACUGGAAACAAUCUACAGCUAUAUGCCACGAUACUAUCAUGAUCCAAUACUAACUAUCUGUAGAAUAAUACAAAUCUCUGACCCAAUCUCACUAGAGACUGUGAAAACACCCGUCUCGCUUGUCGAAGCGAACCCGUAUACUACCCUAUGAGUAGUCGGUGGAUAAAACUCUCUAGGGACUGUAUACACCCGUCCCGUCUAAUUAGACUACACCAUAGCUCAAGAGUAGCCGGUGGAGAAAACUCUCUAGAGACUGUGAAUAUACCCGUCUCGCCUAAUUAGGCUACACCGUAGCUCAAGAAUAGUCGGUGGAGAAAACUCUCCAGAGACUGUGAAUACACCCGUCUUGCCUAACUAAACUACACCGUAGCUGAAGAGUAGCUGGUCUAGGUAAAAAGGUCCGACAGGACGGCUGUAACUCCCCUCACGUCACAACCUCAUUGAAGGUCGAGAAAGGCGUCACUAACUACCACUGAUCCAACCUCACACGGGCUGCCCAAACGGGCCCACCCUGCCUGUAUCCAACUACGCUGUACACCACCCACUGGGGUGGCCAGUACAAGAACUAUCCGAGCAGAAACUGCGAUCUUAUCGCACUAAAAGCUCAUUCCGGAAUGGCAUUCGUGGGCGCGACCCAACCGAGUUUACAAGUGUCUCUGUGAAGUUCAAUCAGUCUCUCACAGGCUAUAAUCGAAGUGAACAGGUCACACUGGUCUAACCACCAAAUCUCACGUGCUUUUAGCACAAUCUAAUGCAAAAACAGCCAACAGGGUCCACCAUUAACCACGACGGCACCCGACACAGUUCGGAACAGCCUAAACACUGCUGUAAAAAUAAGCUUGGCAUCCGAUCACGAGUGUAAAUGCAUUCUAUACUAUCUUGAGUAUCCACCGCCCACAAACUGCGGUGAUACAAACAAACUACGGCUCCUAGAGCUAAAUCUGGUAGUUUUAAUAUAGGUCGGUGUAAAAUUAUCAGUUUUCUCCUAAGUCAAGUUUCAAGUCCAACAUAUAUAAUUUAUCUAACUCACUACAGCAUGCUCCAAAUUCGGAUUUUGUUUAACAUGUUAAUCGAUGAAUUCGAGCUAAAAACAUGAUAUACAAUUGCUGAAAAUAUACAUGUUGACUAUGCGUACACUUAGGAGGAGAAUCCGAUGAUUAACCCACCUCUAGCGCUAAUCCACGACAGCACGGGGUCGCGAAGUUACUGGGAUACACAACCGAAACCACCCCUGGACCAGCAGCAAGGAUUCUCCAAGAACUAAAACAACGAUACCAAUAAUUCUAUCAAUAUACUAAAAUUCAGCCCCUAAGGUCAAAUUCCUUCAAUCUCAAUGUCAAUUUCACCUUUCGAUCUUCAAAUCUGGUGAAGCAAGGUUCCAAAACCUGUGUACUAAGAUGGAGAAUCACCCCCAGGUCCAAAAUCCAGCUUCCUCCAAAGAUUGCAUCAUGAAAAUUCACAAAACUCAAAUUUCAGCUUCAAUACUGCAGCAGUCCAGAAAAAUAGCAAUUUGACCAAACUAACCUCAAUCAAAUUCGUCAAAAAACGCUCCACGGAUUCUUCUUGAAGUCCAGAAUCCAAAAAACCAAGUUUCACAGCAAACGGAGCUUCCUACGUCGCACACGAGCCAAAACGUCGAAGGUCGCUGCUGGAAAUCUGCAGAAUCAGCACUCCUCAAGCUUGGAAUUGUAGAAUUUGGAGUAAUUUGAGGGACUUAGAUGCAAAAUGGAGCUUCUCUGUGAAGAAGGAAUGAAAAGUCUUCACUGUAGUCGAACACUACAUAUUUAUAGGGUGAUCAAAUGGUCAGAUAAGCCUCAGGAACAAAAGAGGUUAACCUGCAGAGUUUGCAGAAAACCACACUUUCGGGCGCCCAAAACCCCUUUCUGGGCGUCCGAAACCUCCAGGCUACACACUUGCUCCCCUUCGGUUCCUCUGCCUGGGGUGUGCUGCGCCCAUAUCCGGCUCCGGUGGAGCUCACCUACCACCAGCCAAGUGUCAGCGCAAACGAUACUCACGAAGUGAAAUUUCGGACCCACUUCUGGGCGCCCGAAACUAGGAUUCGAAUUGGCUUCCAGUUCUGCUCAGUUCAGCACUCGAGUUCUAGGCGACCCAAACCCUGUUCUGGGCGCCCGAAACUGGCAAAACUCCUGUUUUGCUCCUUUGAGUGCGCCGAGUCCAUUUCUGCAUCUAUUUCAUGCAGAAACGACUCCGACUCAGUCCGACACUCUCCAGAGGUGUCGACCAGUCACUAAUACUGUAGCCAAUCCUAUCCAAACCUCUGGAACACUGCACGUGUUUGGUUGAUAAGGAAAAAUAAAAUGAAAAAUAGUUUUUCGUUUUUAUUUAACUUGUUUGGUUAGUUAGAAAAUUUGGGAUAUAAACAUUUUCUACAAAAAGAGGGUAAGAUUACUAAUUUUUUAGAACUUAACAUACUACUCACAAACUAUUUAUACUAUAAAUAAUAAAUAAAUUAAAUAAAAAUAAAUUUUAACUAUAUUUUAGUCUAGAUAAUAUAAUUUGACAAAAGAGAUGGACUUGAUGAAGAUGACAGAUAAGAGAUGAAGAUGGUUCUUCCAUGUGUAUAUGUACACACAAGCGCAUGCGCGCGCGCAUCCGCGCGCGCACACACAUAUAUAUAUAGAGAGAGUCCAGCUACUAUACUCUUAUGAGUAUAGUCAACUUUUUACUCAUAAGUUUUUGACUGUUAGAUCUUCUUUGUUAAUCAUUUCCACCCGUUAGAUCAUACUAUUUAACCAACCACCAACUCAAUCCUAGGGGACCACUAUUAACCUAACCGGGGACCGCUAUCAUCCUAACCGCAUAUCUUUUCAUCCAAUGAUCGAAAACUUAUGAGUACAAAGGAUGCUAUACUCAUAAGAGUAUAGUAGCCUUAGCCUAUAUAUAGAGUUCAGCUACUAUACUCUUAUGAGUAUAGUCAAUUUUGUACUCAUAAGUUUUUGACCGUUAGAUCUACUUUUUUGAUCAUUUCCACCCGUUAGAUCAUACUAUUCAACAAACCACUAACUCAACUUUAGGAGACCACUAUUAACCUAACCGGGGGUUGCUAUCAUCCUAACCACACAUCUAUUCAUCCAAUGGUGGGAAACUUAUGAGUACAAAAGGGGCUAUACUCAUAAAAGUAUAGUAGCCCUAGCCUAUAUAUAGAUUCCAGCUACUAUACUCUUUUGAGUAUAGUCAACUUUGUACUCAUAAGUUUUUGGCCGUUAGAUCUACUUUUUUGAUCAUUUCCACCCGUUAGAUCAUACUAUUCAACCAACCACUAACUCAACCCUAGGGAACCACUAUUAACCUAACCGAGACCACUAUUAACCUAACCGGGGACCGCUAUCAUCCUAACCGCACAUAUUUUCAUCUAGUGGUCGGAAACUUAUGAGUACAUAUAUAUAUAGGUUAGGGCUACUAUACUCUUAUGAGUAUAGACCCAUUUGUACUCAGAAUUUUUUGGCCAUUGGCUGAAGGGAUAUGCGCUUAGGAUGAUAGUAGUACCCGGCUAGCAUAAUAGUGGUCCCCUAGGGAUGAGUAAGUGGAUAAUUGAAUAGUAUGAUCUAACGGGUGGAAAUAGUCAAAGAGGUAGAUCUAACAGCCGAAAACUUAUGAGAAAGGAGUCUAUACUCAUAAUAGUAUAGUAGUCGGACUCUACAUAUAUAAAGAGAGAGAGAGUUGAUCUAGAAUACUAUUAAUAGCAUUUGGGCUCUUUUGCUAUCAAUUUUUUAACCGUUAGAUCUACACUUUAAUCAAUUCCAUCUUUUAGAUCAUACUAUUCAAUCAACCACCCACUCAACCCUAGGGAGACUACCACUAAACCUUGGGGAUCACUAUUAUCCUAACCCUAUAAUUUUUUAUCCAAUAAUUAAAAACUCGAUAGCGAAAGAGCCCAAAUUUUAUUAAUAGUAUUCCAACCAAAUUCUACAUAUAUAUAUAUAUAUAUAUAUAUAUAUAUAUAUAUAUAUAUAUAUAUAUAUAUAUAUAUAUAUAUAGUCCGGCUAUGGUGCUUGUAAAAGCACCAAGCACUUGGUGCUUGUAAUUUUUUUACCGUUAGAUCUACGCCUUGAGCUAGAAUACUAUCGAUAGCAAACCGGCACUUUUGCCACCCAUUUGUUUUCGAUGAUGGAGCCUCCAAAUUGAUGAUUGGCACCGUUGAACAUGAUCUAUACCAUUUGAAGUAUUUAGAAAUUAAAUUUCAUACAUUUUCGAUAUUGCUCUCUUAUCCAUUGAGUGGACACAAAAAUGAACAGCUGAAAAUGAAUAUUUUUAAAAAAAUGAUGGUAGGAGUCUUGUAAUCAAGAUCAAGAGUAUAGAUCUUGUUUUAAAUAGUUUAAAGAAUUUUCUAACAAAAAUUCAAUUGAUUUGGAUAUCUUUACGCCGUUAAACGAGAAAACGCCUCAUAUCGACCAUUAAAAUUACAAAUUUUGAAACCCUUUGAUCAUUAGGCAAAUAAUGUCGAAAAGAUUUGAAAUUUGAUUUCUAAAUAUUUCAAGUAGUAUAAAUCAUGUUCAACGGUGCCGAUCGUCGAUUUGGAGGCUCCAUCAUCGAAAACAAAUGUGUGGCAAAAGUGCCGGUUUGCUAUCGAUAGCAUUCUGGCUCAACUAUAUAUAUAUAUAUAUAUAUAUAUAUAUAUAUAUAUAUAUAUAUAUAUAUAUAUAUACAUAUAUAUAUAUAUAUAUAUAUAUAUAUAUAUAUAUAUAUAUAUAUAUAUAUAUAUAUAUAUAUAUAUAUAUAUAUAUAUAUAUAUAUAUAUAUAUAUAUAUAUAUAUAUAUAUAUAUAUAUAUAUAUAUAUAUAUAUAUAUAUAUAUAUAUAUAUAUAUAUAUAUAUAUAUAUAUAUAUAUAUAUAUAUAUAUAUAUAUAUAUAUAUAUAUAUAUAUAUAUAUAUAUAUAUAUAUAUAUAGUUGGACUGGGCUAUUAUUAGUAGCAAAAUCCUAUUGUUGCUACCAGUUUUUCAGCCUUUGGAUCAACUCUUUUCAUUAUUUCUAACCAUUGGAUUAAAUACUAUAACCCAGUGGGAACCACUCAACCCUAGGGGGCCACUCAACUCUAACCGACUAAUAUCAUCCUGACCCUACAAUUUUUCAUCCAAGAGUUAAAAACUUGAUAGCAAAAAGAGCGUUUUACUAUUAAUAGUAUUCCAGCCUAAUUCUAUAUAUAUAUAUAUAUAUAUAUAUAUAUUCCGGCUACUAUACUAUUAUGAGUACGAUCGCCCUCGUACUCAUAAGUUGUUUUUGAUGAUAGAGCUUCCGAAUCGAUGAUCCACACCGUUAAACGUUAUUUACAGCAUUUAAAACUUCUAGAAAUAAAAUUUUAUAAUUUUUCGACAUCAUUUACCUUACGAUCAAGACGUCACAAAUUUGACAAUUUUUAACGGCCGGUAUGGGAUACUUGCUAGUUUAACGAUGUAAAAGAAUCGAAAUUUGUUGAAUUUUUGAUAGAAAAUUCUAUUCACUAACUAGAUAAAGAUCAAUAACUCGGAUCUUGAAUUGAAGGAUCCGAUCAUCGUUAUUUAGGACGUCGUUCGAUUUUGACCGUUCAUUUUAUACCCGUUUGAUGGACUUUAUUAUAAUUUCGAAAAUUUACGAAAUUUAUUUUCUAGAAGUUUCAAAUACUCUAGAUCAUAUUUAACGGAGUGGAUCGUCGAUUCGGAAUCUCCAUCAUCGAAAACAACUUAUGAGUAUGAGGGCUCCAAUACUCAUAAUAGUAUAGUAGCCGUGGCCUAUAUAUAUAUAUAUAUAUAUAUAUUGUGUGUGUGUGUGUGUGUGUGUGUGUGUGUGUGUGUCAUUCACAAUUUCUAGAGAGCCUGGGGAAGGAAGAGGUUGAAAAGGGAGAAACAGUCCCGCUCCCUGUCGUGUUCCUAGUCUCGAUCUCGGUCGCGAGUGGGAUUUCAAAUUAGAUUUUGAUGAGUUUAGAAGAAAAGCAUGAGAAUCGAACAGGCGGAAUGGAAAACCAAAAGAUCUCUAAAAGUUCUUUUCUACCGAAGAGACGUAAAGAAAAAUGACACGAUAUUUAAAAGAUGGCAGGUUUUAGGGAAAAAAAUGAGUAAUAAAAGAGGUGAGCCACAAAACCAAUAGUUAAGAUAAAUUUGCCGCGUGAACAAAAUUAUAAGAUUAAUUAAAUAUUAAUUUUUAAUUAUUAUUAGCAUAAAAAUUAAUUAUUAUUAUAUAAUAAUACUAGGUUGGGGAAGGGGGAGAGUGUGCGUGUUGGUACAUUGAACCUGGACGUUAAGGACCAUGGUUCGCCGGAACGCUAUCAAAGAUGGGCCCCACACAUGUGCUGUGCACGUGCUAAAAGCCCCGUCCGUACAUGAGGACCGUUAUAUCUGCUACGGACCAAACCCCGAAACCCUAGCCCCGCCGCUGCCGCCGCCGCCGCCGCCGCCGCCGAUGGCCUCCGCGCCCCCCAGCGUCGCAUUUCUCCCUGGUUUAAACCCUAGCUCCGCCGUAAGCAUCGACCCGAGUCCCAAUUUCCUCCCCUCUCUCCAUCCUUCGAUCGCAAUUGCUUAAACCCUAGCCUCUUGAUCCCGACCUUCUGGUUUACUUGUAGGGCUCGAGCUCGAAGCAUCGGUUGGUGACCAAUCGAAGCCUAGGGUGUCGAUCGGAGAGAGCUUCCGCGACGGUGGCGAUGGCGAAGAGGUCGGAGGAGGAGAGGGAUUUUAGCGCUUCUUCGGCCGCUUCGGAGGAGAUCGUCACCAAUUCCUUGGAUGAUUUAGCCACCGAGUUGGGUAAGCUUAUGAUUAUGAUUCUCAUUUGAUAAUUACUUUCGUUAUCUGGCGAAAUUUUACUAAAGAUUUGGGUAAAAAAAAUUUAAAAUGUUAAUGAUGCAGAACUGAAGAGGAAGGAGCCCAGCAUUUCCACAAUUUUGACGAGUUUCGACAAUUCCUUCGAUCCCUAUGGGGCUUUGAGCACUCCAUUGUACCAAACAGCCACAUUUAGGCAGGUAAUGUCAUUUUGAUGUUAAUACUGACACUAUGAAAAGAUUUUGCAUGAGAAACUUCAUAUUCUUUUUAGCUUUAUUUCGAUUUGUUAAAAAGAAAUUAUUCGAGAAGUUCCUUGAUCAAAACAAAAUUUAUCCUCUAUGGCUUUAUUAUGAAAUUGAAUUUUUCUUGUUCCAGCCGUCGGCAACAGAAUAUGGUACAUACGAUUACACAAGAAGUGGUAAUCCUACUCGCGAUGCAUUGCAAGGGUCUGUUCUAUCGCCUUAGGUGUAAUUGGAGUAACCUCUUGAAUUUUCCUUUUUGCAAUUUUGUUUUGUAUUGGUUGAUAAUAAGCAUGUGCAUGUGCAUGUACAAAUGCUCAGUCUUAUGGCUAAGCUCGAGAAGGCCGAUCAAGCGUUCUGCUUCACUAGUGGAAUGGCCGCUCUCGCCGCCGUAACCCAUCUUCUUGAAACCGGUAUGCGUGAUGUGUCUUUUUUCUCUUAAGUUAUUGUUAUCGUUUCUAUGAAUUGCGGCUUUUACGUCUAUCUCCCUGCACAUGCACAUUAAUAUGCCCCCUAUAAAAUCUGAAUUUUUUCAUACAAAACUGCUGGAAAGUGUAGUUUUGUACAAAAGUUUUUUUAAGUUGGUGGCUCAGUUUGUUUACGAGGAAGGUUUUGUAUAAGAUGUUUUUGAAGCAGUGGCAUUUCUGCUAGUAUACAGUGAAUAAAUAAUGUUUUUGAAUGGCAGAUGCAAGGUUCAGAUAUUGCAGGUUUAAUUAUGUAAAAGUACAAGUUUUUCAGAGUACAAAUGUUAAUAUCUCUUCAAUGAAUUGUCUAGUUAACCUUGUAAUUAUUUAGGUCAAGAGAUUGUUGCGGGAGAGGACAUAUACGGCGGCUCGGAUCGGUUACUUUCACAGGUGGUUCCAAAGAAAGGGAUUAUUGUAAAGUUAGUAUGUUUCCUCCUUUUUCUGCUCUUGGUAGUUGGUAUUCCACCAUAAUAUUUUGUCAAUUAAAUCACUAAUAACGAAAUUAUUAUUGAUAUGGUAGUCGCGUAGAUACUUCCGAUCUUUGUAAAGUUGAAAAUGCAAUUGGCCGCUCAACAAAACUUGUCUGGUUAGAAAGUCCAACAAAUCCUCGCCAGCAAAUCGCUGAUAUACGGGUAAGAAAAUUUCUUGUGUAAAUUCAAUGUUUUGAUUUAUCUACGCAAGCACUUGUAAUUAUUCUUUCGACCUUGUAGUCACACCAAUGAUAGGCAGAUUAAUCCUCUGGUUAUAUUUUUUACAUUUACUCUUGAUAUUUUCUUCUUAUAUUUUUUUUUGUUAUUACUUUGCCUAUUUACAGAAAAUCUCUGAAAUAGCUCAUUCAUAUGGUGCUCUUGUUCUGGUGGACAAUAGUAUCAUGUCUCCUGUGCUUUGUCGUCCCUUGGAACUUGGUGCAGGUACUGAAGUUGCUUAUGAGGGUACAAGUAUUUAGAAUAACUCAACCUAGCCUUCGUUGAACUAUAAACAAGUCACUAAGAAAGAAACCAUAAUGAAUUUCGAUGUGGGUAUAGUCCAACACCAGUUUAUGAAGUAGAGAUAAAUGUUGUAGUAUUGGAGUAACUGGACUGAUAUCAUUAUGAUGCCAUUUUCUUAUAUUUGCAGAUAUUGUAAUGCACUCUGCUACUAAAUUUAUAGCUGGGCAUAGUGAUCUCAUGGCAGGAAUCCUUGCUGUAAAGGGUGAAAGGUUGAAAGUUUUAUUUUCCUUUACAUCACUACUGAACAUCUCUCUCUUUCGAAAUAUGACUUUUCUUCAUUUUUGGUGUUAUAUUUUGAUUCCUGCUUUCAAGCUAAAUCAAUUACACAUCCAGUUUUGUCAGAUGAUAUAAUCUUAUUUACUAUCUGUACGUACAGAAAUUGUGAUAGAAAACAAUUAGUUCAAUGAACCCUCUUUGCAAUUUCUUGAGCAAUGUCUUAACUUAUUGUAAUGUUAUACAUUUGAAAAUGGAUUAUGGAAUGGUGUGACUUUUUUUCUUGUGGCUGAAUUAUUUUGUUAAAUUUGAAUAUGUGGUACUUAGACUAUGUUAAUUUUUUUUUUUUUUUACUCUUCCUCUAGACUUAUUGUCCCAAACAGUUAUGUGAAUCUCUUGAACCGUUCGCUUUUAUGAUGACCCAUAGAUAUUCUUAUCUUUCUUCCAUGAUCACACAAAAUCAUCAAUCUUGUCAAAACCGCCGUCUAUGUGCUUUAUAAGUUUGAACUGCUUAGGCACUCAUCAAUUAGGCAUUUAUCAUUAGACUUGGGUACCUUGAAAGUUGGCUGAUGUAUCACCUAGCCUCGCCCAGGCAGCUAGCUCGAGUUUUUAUUAGCAAGAAUUAACUAAUGUAGAUGGCUUGCACUGUCUUAUUACUUCAGUUUUUUAUGAGGGAAAAAAAGUAAUAUGAGUCAUAUGACAAUGAUAAGAAAGUAUUAGUCAGGUAGUUUGAAUAAAUUAAUGAAAGAUUUCUUAUUGGAAUACUAUUUGUUGUAACAUAUGAUUAGUUCCUUUCUUAUGACAUAAAGUUGAAUUAAUCUCAUUAUUGGUUUCAUAUUUCAUGAUUUCAUAAUCAUUCAUAAUGUUAUAAUAAACAUUAAUAAUACAAAUAUAUUAUACGAUAUGGAUUUGUGUCGUGAUUAAUCGUUUGAUAUGUCAGUAUGUUUACGUACGUAUUAGGUAUAUAUGGCCAUCCUCCUUUUAAUAGUGAGUUUGGAUUUUAGGCAAAUACGUGGUGCCUUACGUGGAGACCAUCUGAUUGCCUUGACUAAUUGUGUUGAUCAUCUAUUGUUCACUCUUUCAACUAUGUUUCUUGUUGAAAAAAGUGAAUAAAUCUGCAUCUCUUUUUUUUUUUUUUUUUUUUUUUUUUUUUUUUUUUUUGUGUCAUGCAUUAUGCAGCCUGGCAAGAGAGAUUGCAUUCCUGCAGAAUGCUGAAGGCGCUGGAUUGGCACCUUUUGAUUGUUGGCUUUGCUUGAGAGGUAUCAAGACCAUGGCCUUACGUGUUGAGAAGCAACAGGUGCAACAUUUCUUUUUUACUUUUUCCCAUACCCUCUCUUUUUAGUUGCUUUGUAUGUAUUGUAUAUGAAUAUGAAUGUUCUGUUAAAGAUUGCAACCUUUUUUUAUUUUAUAUAUAUAGUGUUGAUACCUUUUUGGUUUGCCAACAGGCUAAUGCACAAAAACUUGCUGAAUACUUAUCUACUCAUCCAAGGGUGAAGAAAGUGAAUUAUGCAGGACUUCCCGGUCACCUGGCGCGUGAUUUGCAUUAUUCUCAGGUACUUGAAAAUAUAUUUGGCCAAAAACUUUAAUUAAGUGGCUCUCAACUCAGGAGUUUAUUUCUUAUUGCAUCCAUCCUUCUCUUUCUUGGUAGGCGAAAGGAGCUGGCUCGGUACUCAGUUUUUUGACAGGUUCGCUAGCUCUCUCAAAGCAUAUUGUCGAGACCACAGAGUACUUCAAUGUGACAGUUAGCUUUGGUAAUAAUUCUUACACCUUCCUCUGUUCAUCAUUUGGUAUAAAAUACUUUAAUAAAUAUUUCUGUCUUUCUUGCACCUUCUUCUGUUCAUCUUGUUGGCAUAAAAUAUAUUGAUAAACAUUCUGUCUAGGGUUACUGGAUCAGUAAUGGCUAAAUCAGUAGUCCUAUUUCUUCUCAGAAUAAGAAUAGGGAUACGGAUUAUAUAUCAGAUAUAUUCUAUAUUCAUCUCUAAGAUACACAAAUAUAGUGGAAAAUAGAAAUAUAUUAUACUAUAGUUAUAUAAAGGAAAAUCUAAUUGGAGACAUCCUGAAAUGUGUAUGGAAAAUUAUGCAUGUUAAUAAUCUACUAAAUUAUCUUAUGUGAUGUUUAAAUAUUCUAAUAUGCAAAUAAUCUCCAGAAGAGUACCUCAACCCAUGUCCAUAUACAGUAAAGUUUAUAUAUCUAGAUCCGUAUUCAGAUUUAGAUUUAAUGAUGUUGGAGGAAAUUUAAACCUAUAUCCAACAAAACUUGGAGUUGGAAUCUAAGAAAUUAUCUAGUAUCCAUCAUUCCUCCAAUGUUAAUCAUCAUUUGAAAUACUUUGCUUAUCAUCCUUUGGCUAUAAUUUACAUGUAAUUACAUAAAUUACUCCGUGCGGAUGCAGGGAGCGUGAAGUCGCUGAUUAGCUUGCCGUGCUUCAUGUCGCACGCGAGCAUACCCGCUUCAGUUCGUGAAGCACGCGGAUUGACCGAAGACCUCGUUCGCAUCUCUGUGGGCAUUGAGGAUGUAGAAGAUCUUAUUGCUGAUCUGGACUAUGCCUUUAGAACUGGACCUGCGUAAAAUUAGUUUAUAUUCAUUCUUUUUGUGGUAGUAAGCUUAGGGUUUAUGAUGUCGAUUGUAGAUAUACUGCUUGAGGCCUUGUUUGGAUGUCGGAAUAAAUUAUCUUAUUCGAUACAACAAUUUUCUAUUGUGAUCGUAAGAAAGAAGUUUGAUUUUUGUUCCUUAAAAAGUUCUGGGGUCCAUGAUUUGGUAAUAUAAUGUAUCUCAUCUAUGAGGUGAUUUAAGGCCGAAUAUAUUGUCCAUUUCUAGAUUUUGAUUACAUUUUUCACCUAUCAAACGUACAAACUUUUCAAGUAAAUUAUGGAGAUAUACUAGAUGAGAUACAUAUGCAUCCAAAUAGGGCCUAAAUGUAAUUGAAUUGCUAAUCUAUCCCAGACUCUGAACAUCAGUUAGGAUGAUAUAGUAUCUUUUGGAUUAGCUUUAAUUUGUCCUCAUAUUGUUUAGUUCAUUUUCACUUUGUCAACAUGUGGUUUUAAAAGGUGCACUUAACUAUUCUUUGGUGUACCUUAUUUUUAUUUUGCCAUCCUUUGGUUCAAAAGUGACACUUAGCUCUCUCAUGGUUAGCAAAAAAUUUACUUUGCUAUCCUAUUGAAUAGUAAGUUUUUUGGAUCAAAGAGAGAUAAAAUUACUAGGUAGCUAGUACAACCUAAGAAUGACAAAGUAAAAAUGAGCUAAACCACAUGGGAGGCAAAUUGAAGUUUACCCUAUCUUUUUUCUAUCUGUGGUUUUGUAUUGUUUAAUAAGUUGGGUUAAAAAACAUCAAUUGCCCUGAAAUGAUGAGAGGAAUUAUGACUUAUGAGAAGAGUGACACUUUGGUCAUUAAACUUUUAUUUAAACUUAGAUAGAAAUAUAAAGUAAUUAGACUUCGAAUUUGAGACAUCGAGUAUCAACCAUUAAAUUUUUUGUCACUUGCACUUGAGCAGUCAGUCAAUUACUAGUUAUUUGGCCAAUUAUUAGUUAUAUAGUUGGGUUAUUUUGGCAAUUUGGUCUGGAUCCUGUCCGUCCAAGUUGGUUAAAGCUUCUGGAUAAGUGCGGUUUGAGUAAAACUUUUUAGAGAAGCAUAAAUAGCUUUCUUAGCAAAAUGCUCUUUUUGCAGAUUUGCAAAUGGUCUUCAAGUCAAAAGUUUAGUGGGAAUAUGAAUGAAUGUUGUUCUCCGGGGCUACGUUUUAAAUAUUUUUGUCGAAGACUAUAUUGGAUCUGCUGAGGAAAUGCCUGCCCUUUUCCAGGAAUUAGAGUCCAUGGCUGGAUGGAGGAUUUCCUCGACGCCUUGACGGCGAAAUCAUAUGUAUUUUAAUUAUAUUAAGCCCAUGAUGAAUUAUAGUUAAUAAUGUCGAUCCGAACGUCUCCUUACUAGUUUACAUCUUAUUAAGGGCAUUAUUUCUAUUUACACAAUUGAUUGUAUUCUAAUUAAUUUAUAAAUAAAACUGAGGCUUUUAUAAUAUUACAUUCAGCAUUCAAGUUGUGAAUGCGCCAGUUCCGUUUAAGCUUUCGCCUAUUUACGGAUAGAUAUGUUCAGCUAUGUGAACUUUAAAAAUUUACUGCUCAGAUUAUUGUUUGUAUACUCAAUCAUCCAAAUUUAUAUUUUAUGACUAGCAUUGCAUGAACCGUUCAAAAACAAUAAAAGAUAUUGUUGGUGCCAAUAGAGUAGCGCCACGUGGCGAACCGGUGCACAGCUUAGCCAGGGACUCUAAAGCUAGAAACAAUGACAUAUGGUGCGCUGGGAGCAGAGGAUGAAUAGCAGCAAACCGCAGACGAUUUUCAUGCGGUUAAGAUCAGCUUGUAGUGGCCCGAAAAAUAGGGAGAAGUGGCCGAUCAUAUAGAUAACUGAAUAACAAUAGGCGGAAUAUAAAUAAGCAAAUGACACCUGGAAGAAGAGUCUUUUCCCUGCGAAUAGAAGACCACUUUUCAAUUUCUACGCAUUUUUCUUACAUUUCUCGGAGUAAUCCACUUGUAAUCUUUUCCUUUCCCGCAUUUGCUGUCUUUCUUAGGAGUAGUCUUUAAGUUAGAUUUUUGGAGUCUGUAUGCCACACAGGCACACUCUCUUUUGUACGAGUUUUCAGCCUUAGUUUUAAUAUAUAUAAAGGUAUUCGGCUCUUCGGCAGACCCAAAAAUACUCUGCAUUUCGUACAUUUGGCUUAUUUAGCCGAACCAACUCCACAGUAGAAGGUUUCGAACCUGGCUGAUCUGAUCUCUCAUCAGCCGAAUCGCUUGAUCUGUCGAAGGGCGCGAACUUCGAGGGUCACCACGUGAAGCCGUUUUGCAUCCCUAUGCGCUUCUAUAGGGAGAUCUUUGACUCGGUCAAAGGUUAGGGAAUUCGGCUCACAAUAAUUUUUGGCACGCCCAGUGGGACACUUUGCAGGUAAACUUGUGUUUUCAAUUAUUAAAAAAUUAUGGCUGAUGACAAUGCAAUGAACCUUCGAAACAGAGUCGUUUCACGAAAUUCUGGGAAUGAUCAAGCUAGUAAUACAGAGAGCGUGAAUGAGCGUAAUGUAGCCUUGCCGGUCGAAGGUGAGAUUAGCGGUCAAUUAGACCAACAAUAGCCAAGUUUGGCUCAGGCGCUCGGACAGAUGACACGAGUCUUACAAGUAUUAGACCAAAACAGUAACAGGAGUACUGCUCGUCUGGAUGUAGUUUUAGCCGCAAUCACGGCUUCCAACGACAAUAUUGUCCGAAUUGGGCAAAUAUUAACACGAAAUGAACAACCCAUGGCAGAUCUACAGGGGCCUAUGGGCACACCAGUGUUACAAAAUCCAGUGACACCGGUAAACACUCAACCUUAGGGAACACCUUUCAAGGCUGCUUAUAGACCAGCGACUACAAACGUCGUUCAAUAGCCCGAAGUGGCGUGGGGAUUACCCCCUCCGCCACCAUUGGCAGCAUAUCAACCCCAAAGUCCGGGGAUGUAACACACUGAACUUUAGCAAAUUGCGAGGUUCAAGUGUUUGAUUUGUGAACUGAGCCUUUUUGGGUUUUCUGUACGGUCGUCGACUGUGUUCCGACCUAUGACUCGCAUCCCGAGGAGUGAGGAUAAAAAUCUAGCACCAAAACCUCUAAAAAAAAGGAUUUGGGCUACUCUCGGGUUGACUCUGCAGGGCAGUGUACCGGUACUGUAUCGGCUUGGUACCGGUACUGCAUCGCGAUAGUACCGGUACACAGUGUAUUUUCUCGCUUACCCAAGGCUCGGGUUUGCGCGUGCUGCUGCCUGGUACCGGUACUCUUGCCUGCGUAUCGAUACGCAGUGUUGCGUGCAGUCUGCAUGUUUUUUAGGGUUCUCCUUGCAAUUGUUGAAACACUUUAUAUACCCCACAACCUUUGGUUGGGAUCUCUUGUGCUGCAACCAGAGAGGAGAAGAGGUAGGGUUCCUCUUCCAUUUUACUUAGAUUUUUCCCUCUCUUUUGCUUUGGAUUUGAGGUUUGAUCUCUCCACUUGCUUCCUUUUUGCAUCUUGGUGACCUUUCCACUAUUGGAGAAGCUUUGGAGCUUGGAUUGGAGCCAUUUCGAGGAAAGAUUUCUAACCCUAUCUUACUCCUAGCUUGGUUUGGAGCUUCUAGAGAGGUUACUAACUUUGAUCUUCCAUUUGAUUCAUGUUUUGGUAGUUUUUCGGAGAUAAAAACUUAGAAAUGAGAAUUUAGGGUUUUAUUUGGGGUUUCUUGAUUUGAGGCUUUUGAGUUCGAAUUGAUAGGUGUAGAACACUCUUAUAGGUUGGAUUUGAAGCUUUCUAGCUUCGAUUUGAGCUUUGAUCAAGUUCUUCUUGACCCAAGGAAUUUUUACACUUUUGUAUGUGUAAUUUUCGAAGUAGUCGUUUUAUAGCUUUUAACCCUUUAGAAUUUCUCUUAGGGUGCUAGAAGCUUGAGGGACAACUUCGUUCGAAGGAACGACAGGGUUCGAAGUGCUUCCGAUGGAUUUGACCUCACUGAAAUGGGUGAACUCUCCCUACGUCUUUCUUUUGAUGUUAAGACAUAAAUAGAUGCCUUUUCAUGCUCAUUAUGACAUGCUAGAAUUUAUGAGAACAUAAUAUAUACAUGUUAUGUAUAAUGAAAAAAAUUAUGCUCUAGGUGGUAGAGGCAUACAUGUGGAUUUGGGCACUAAAUAACAAUAGUUGAGAUUUUCUCUCUUAUGCAACCAUUGAAAGUAUGUUAGAGAAUGAAUAAUGUUAUAACCCGUUGGGGGUUACCUAGUGAAUGAAUUGGAAAGUAGCAUUACUUACAUGAUGACAAGAGUAGACAAGGUGAUUGAAAAUUAGCAUUACUUGCAUGAUAACAUUAUACUUGUAGUAGACAAGGUAGUAGUGCAUUGGGACAUAGAACAUGAUAAGGUUAUCAUGGAGCUAAACUUGAUAUAUUUAGCCUAGUUGGACAACUAGAACUUAGCAUGUGACACAGUAACUUGAUGCAUUAAAUUAGAAGAACGACUAGUAUUUGCCAUUGUGACAUUACAAUAAAUCUAGGGUUCGAUAGUUAUAUUCCAUGUUUUAGACAUGAGGAGAAUGAGAGUGUAUAGCCCUUGGGGCGAACCCUAAUAGAGAUGAUUGCACGUAAUACUACUGGAAUCUAAAUAAUUGCAUCAUAAUAUUUCUACUCCAUGUAGUGAGGAUGUUAGUUGAAAGACAUGUGCAUAACAUGCAUUGUGAUAAUUGUGGACAUUUCAUAGUUCUUUUGCAUAUGGCAUUGGUACAUGUUUCUUGUGAAAAUUUGUUGUAACUGCAUGUCAUGAACCUUGUUGGAGAUUUGAGUAAAAUAGUGAACUAUCCUAGGUAGCAUAUUGUCAUAUGAACUAUGCAUGCCUUAGGCAAUAUAUGUGUCGGUAGAGAUAUACCACCCAAGUUGUUGUAAACAUGACAUGAAUGAUCUAGAAUCCGACCGUUGAGUCGAUAGUGACAAUUCCAUGUUUUAGACAUGAUGGUUAAGUAUCCCAAAUUGUGGACCUUAUGCUAUGAUCACGCUUGCUUGCCCUUGUGCCCAUUCGCACAUGCUUGUGAGGGUCUCUCCCUACAAGCCGGCACUCCGGAGUUUAGCCUUGCGACGAUAGAUCACCCAUGCGGGAUUGGGCGCCGAAGUGGGAUGCCGUGGGCGGAGUCUCUUUUCUUGCGGGAAAAAUGAUGACCACCACGGGGCCACUAAGGCACGACACGAGCCGGGAUGUUAUCAUGUGUACGUUCCUUGUAAAUUGGGUAUUAAGACUUAACUUGAUAAUGUACAUCAUCGUAGUUGAUGCAUACAUAGUAGAUGUUCAUACAUGUGGUUUGCUACCUUGUACUACUAAUUGAUGCAUACUUAGUAGUUGGACAUUUUGUGGAACAUUGUGACAUUAGUAACUUUAGUGGUAGUGAACCUAUAUUCUUGUGGACUAGUAUGUAUGCAGGGCUAGAAUAACAAUAAAAAGCAUAAUUUACUCUAUGUAGCAUUAUGGACAUUAUAAUUAUGCAUGUAAAUAGACAUUGGCAUACAUUUGAUUAGGCAUGUUAAUCAACAUUGACAUAUAAUUAAUCAAGUGAAAGUAGAACAUCAUAUACAUGAUAAUAAACUUGUAGUAGAGGCAUGACUAUGAUUAAUCUUGUUUAAUUACUUGCUUUUCAUAUUUUUGCUUAAUUAAUUCCUUUAUAGCAUGCCUAUAUUAGCCUAGUGGUGUAUUUCGCUAAGGUCGGCGACUUGCCCACUGGGAACUAUUGUUUAAUAGUUUUCACGCCCUCUGUUUUGUUGUUUGUUUCAGAGCCAUCCGCAUCGGGAGUGGCUAGAGAUCGUGGCAAGGGGUUAGCGACUAGCUAGAGCUCCUACGGAGUUAUUUUAGAGGGACCCAACAUCAUCUUUCUUUUUGUAUUUUGUGGAAAGAUGUAUUAUGUAUUUUGGUUUAGAGAUUAUGUUAGACUUUUGGAUUUAGUUGUAUACUUUUUGUGUAUAUUGUGAAUCUCUUUAUACUAGAACAUUAGAAAUUUUAUAUUACUCGCUCUGAUAGCCUUGUUUGGACUUUAUCUUGUUCAUUUCUAGUUUUUGGUAGACGCCUUGUAUGCACUGUGGUUGUUUGGUGUACACGGCGGGUCUGUGCAUGCGCCGGGCAGGCUUCCGCUAGGUCCCGGGGCAUGACAGGGGAUUAGAGCUAGGGGGCAAGCCCCUAAUGCUAUGCAGGGAGCGAAUCCUACAAUACAGAAUUAUGGACUUCCUCCAGGACCGAAUCCGGCUCAAGCACACCGGCUCAAGCACAAGCUCCGGUUACUGUACAAGGGAAUAAUAAUGAGCUGUGUGCUCAUAUCGAGGAAGCUAUCCUGAAUACCUUUGAAGUCGGGGUCAGGCUAGCGAUGCGGCCUGUGUUUCGAUCCCUUUACCCUGUAAAUAUAGAUACAAAACAUCCUUACCCGACAAGUUGGAAAAUGCCGAAAUUUGAUAAAUUUUUCGACAAUGAAACCGAAAAUACGGUUGAGCACGUCGCACGAUUUACGACCCGAUAUAGAAAGGCCGCCGCAGAUCCUUUCCUGAAACCUAGAUUAUUUAAUACUUUGUUAACCAAGACUACAUUUACUUGGUAUACGAGUCUACGAAUUGGAAAGAAAAUUUCAUGAACAGUUCUAUAGAUCGGAACCAGAUCUUUCGUUUGCUAAUCUAGCCCAGUUUCGACAAAAGUCAGGAGAAUCGGUCAAAGAAUAUUUAAACCAAUUUAAAACGGCAAGAAGCUGUUGCUUUGUUAGAAUGCCAGAGUCAGAAUUUGCUAAAAUGGCAUUCAAUGGUCUGUAUUUCAAGAUAAAAGACCAUUUUUGAGGAUAAAUACUUUCCAAAUCUAUUUGAUUUUGGAGUUCGAGUUGCUCAACAUGAGCAAUUUAGAAAAGGCAAUAAUGAAGAUCGGCCUAGGUGGAGCCGAAGCAAAUAUUGAAACAAAAAAAAGAAGAAAAAUAUCUCCUUUGUUGAAGAAUUUUCGGCUCAAAUGAGCUGAGUACGUCUGAUGAAACAGAAGAUUCGGCUGACAAAGCCGAAGUUUAUGUGGCAGAAAUGGUAAAAAACCGUUAGCCGUAUAAAUGUGCCUUACUCAAACCGGCCAAGCCAAGUAAAGCUAAAGCACGAGUGGCUGCAUACACAUACUCUUUUGAUGUUUCGAAACUUGAUUUGAUUUUUGAUCGGUUAUUAAAAGAUAGGAGAAUCCAACUCCAGGAGGGUCAAACGAUACCCCCUAGAGAAGAAUUGAAAAUGAGAAGAUAUUAUAAGUGGCACCACUCAUGGAGCCACAGAACAAAUGAUUGGACUGCCUUUAAAAGGCAGAUCCAAAAGGAAAUAAAUGAAGGUCGGCUCAUAUUUGCUGACCAAAAAAAUAAAAACAUGGAGGUUGAUAAAAAUCUAUUUCCUUCAUAGGUUAACCUGGUGGAUCUCAAAGGAAAAAGAAAAGAAAAAGCUCAUGCAAGUAGGAAGGCGGAUGAAGAUAUAGCAUAUACCAAGAGGACGUUACGGCUAUGCAUACGAUGCAAGGCCGAGAUGACAGGAUGAGAUUGGGAGGCGAUUAUCUAUGAAAAAAAAUUGUACGGGAAAUGGAAGGAGUUCAUGGCAUUUUUCGAAGAAUGGGAAGACAUACCCGAGGCAGAGAAAAAUUCGGAAGAUGGUUCGGAAUAAGGUUCCAAUGAUUCUGAACAGGAAGUUGAUUCCGUGAAAGACAAGAGAGACCUGUUAAUACAAAAGGUCUUAAAUGAUUAUUAUAAUCUAUGAAAUGAGGACUGAAAUAGCCAAAGGAGUUACCCUAAAAAGCCCCUCGGCUCCCGACCAAGAUUCCUAAGAUAUCGGCCAAACUGGCAACAUCAAGCCAGGCCGAGAUCUGAACCUGGAUUUGAAGGAAUGACUGAGGGUGGUAUCGAAUUCCUCGGUCGGAGAUUAAUUAAUGAACUCGGUAUUCAACCUUGGCCGAGACCGUGGGAGAGAAGAAAAAUCCUGAGAGAUCAUCUGAGGACUAUGAAAGUACCAUCGAAUGUGCUAGUCGAUCAAUGGCACACAACAACAGCACCGGCCAAAUGGCAUGGGCCGAUAUUAACAAAGAUCCAGAAGUGUCGGUGGCAAAUACUACAAGCUGAAGCAAGACAACACUGGGAAGAGGUGAAAGGGAUGAAACCUAACAUAUGGAGGCGACUAUAUGAGCCACAGCAGUCCUUUCGGUUCAUGAAGAAUGACUAUGAGGCGGGCGGCUCGACGCCCGUACCAUGGUUAAAGUCUAAAGUUGAGUGGCCACUCCCGGCAAAGCCAGAAAAGAAGGCAACUAGGAAGGAGUUGGAAGAAAAAAUCACUUCUCAAGAAACUAUAAUCAAGCGGGACAGGUAGCCUCCUAAAGAGAGAGAGGCUCGGAAGAAGAGCGAUUCCUCAGCUGAGACGGCGAAGAAAUCAGAAGAGAAAAAACAAAAAAUACAACAGAAAUCGGCUGAUGAAGAUUCGGCCGAUAUAAGUAUGGUGUACGCUUUGCCUCAAUCAUUCAAGGCAGAGUCCAUUGAAUAUGAAGAGACGGUCUAGAAUGGAGAGGAGCUCACUGGCAAACAAAGGAGUACAAUAAACAAGAGCAGAAAUGAAAUAGUCAAUGACAGUAGCAUCAUAGAUAGAUAGAUAACUGUCAUAAUCUAGAAUACAAAAUAAUGUCGCUACUGUAACAUGAAUCAAGAUACUAACCAUGAAGUGUCGAUCACAGUAGCAAAGAAAAUCAGUGAGUAGUCAUCAUGAACAAUCAUAUAAGAGGCACCGCUACUGUAAACAAGUCAUAUGCUAACAUAAAGGAUCAGCAACUACGGUAGCAAGAUGAAGAAUACAAAAUAACAUGACCCACUUAUGAUGGAAGAAGCUACUGCAGGCUAAACAACUGCUAGAUAUCAUGCAUGACUCAAAUCGAGAUACUAUGCAUCAACUAGACAUACGACUAGUCCAAGGUAUACCCAAUCCCUGUGGCCCGUCAUGAAGACUCGGCCUAUGCUUGCCCAUAGGUCUCGAAGACCGCAAAUCAAGUACCACUCCAGAGGGACACAUCAACCCGCACCCAAAGUCGCUAACUCUGUCAAAGCUUGGUGUAUAUCAAGUCUAGCGGUGAGAACUUAGGGUGGCGAACCCUGUCUAUGUAACAUCACCUCCCACUGGGCUAGCAACUGAAGUACCUCGGGUUAGUAACCCUGUCUAAGACUCUUUUAGUGCCAUACAAGCUAUAGUCAUAUGUAUAUGCUCAAAGCUCCAAUAAUCUAGACUCAACAGUCGAAUCAUUGUCCGUAGGCGACAAUAGGAGCCAAGAGACAAUCACACUAGAUACCAAUGAAAAUAUCAUGAGCCAAACUGUUCGGGUCGACUAGCAUGCUAUAUUAAACGAGUAUGUAGGAAAGAUAGGGAUAAUGCAAAUGAUAGAGGUGAGCAUGCUAAAGACCCAAUCAUGAUGAAAUACGUCAUCUGACCCUUAGGUCAAAAUCUGCGGAAGUGGACACCGACCGACUAGGUCAAUCUCAUGGACUAACUGUAACACACUGGACCUUUGCAAAUUGCGAGGUUCGAGUGUUUGGCCGUGUUCUGAGUUUUUCCAGACUUUCUGAUGGGUCGUUGACAGUGUUCCGACCUAUGGCUCGCAUCCCGAGAAUUGUGGUAUUUUAUGUAGCGCUAAGCUCACUAAAGAGUUGGACUUAGCCUACCCUCGGAUUGCAUUCUGCACGAGGUGUAACCGGUGACAGGUCGAUGGUUGUACCGGUACACAUUUUGUACCGGUACACCCUUGAUGGUCGUACCGGUACACUUAUGGCAGAUUUCAGACCCGAGCCUCGGGUUUGCGUUUUCGUAGGAUGUGUACCGGUACACUUUCCCGUGUACCGGUACACUUUCCCGUGUACCGGUACACUUUGGCAGAAUCUGAGCAGUUUGAACUGCAGGGGGUUUUUCGCAAUUGUGGCUCUCUAUAUGUAUCCCCCACGCCCUUGGGACUUCUCCUGAGCUUGGGACCAGCAGGAGAAGAGGUAAGGGAGCCCUCCACACUUUCCCCUUUGAUUCCUUUGGUUUUAUUUAGAUUUAGAGAGAUUAAAGUCUCUCUUUUUGCUCUUUUUGGGUGUUGGAGGCUUUUCCCACCAUUGGAGCUUGGGUUCAUGCUUGGUUGAGGGAUGAUCCUUGAAGUUUGAGGACUUUGAGCUUGGUUUGAAGCUUUCUAGAGGUAAGUGACUAGAUCUUUUCCUCUAGAUUUGAAUUUUAGAGAUUUCCUUGAGAUGAAACCCUAGAUGAGGUUCUAGGGCUUAUAUUUGGGCCUUUUUGAUCUAGGGCUUUUGGACCAAAAUUGGUUGGAUUAGAACCUUCCUUGGGCUUGGAUUGGAAGAGAUUUAGCUCUCUUUUGGAGCUUGAGAGAGAUUUUCCACACAUUGGGUGAGUUUUAGCCCUUUUUGCUAAAUUUGUUAAAGUUUGAUCUUAUAAUCGAUCGUAAUGCCCGUGUAUCUUUUCACUCAAUACUUUUAGGGUAUUUUGAGACUCGGGGACAACUUUGUUCGGCGAAACGAGACCCUACGCGAAGGUUCGGUGGGUUUGACCUAACCACACAAUGAGAAAUUCUCAUUUGUGCUUAAUUAAGCAUCGUUAAAUGAAAAAGCAUGCAUAUUCUUAUUAUAUGUAUUUAUUAUGAAUUUUAGAAUGCUUAAAAGGCCUAUGUUAUAUAUGUUGAAAUUUUGGACCUCUAUGUAGUAGAGAGUAGCUUGGUAGGCCUAUAGUUGCAUUUAGCAUUCUAUAUGAGACGUGAUUUCAUGAUUCUAUAGUGUAAAUGAGCUUUGGUUCAUGCAUUUAAACUUAAGUUUAUUUGAGACAUGAAAGAUGACAAAAUUGCCAUAUAGAGGUAUUGAACUAAAAUGUAUGUGAACUAGAGAGCUAAUGUCAUCAAGCGGCAUUGAGCUCGGGACAUGUGUGAACUUAGUGGAUAGGGUCAUUGAGGAAUGUGAAACAUGCUUAAUCAUUAAAUGUCUAAGUGUCAUGAAGGGGCACUAGACCUAGAGAAGGUUGGAACUUUAUUGUGACUUAGAACUAGAUCUUCGAGAUGCUAGCGACUAUACCAUGUUGGAGACAUGAGGACUGGAUACUUGAGACUUGGACUAUGCUUGCUUGCCAUUUGUGCUCAUUCGCACAUGCUUGUGAGGGUCGCUCCCUACAAGCCGGCACUCCGGAGUUGGCCUAUGCGAUUUUUGUUCGCUCGUGCAGUAUUGAGGAGCCUACGGGGUCGAGUGGGACAGACACAUUCCAUGAGUAGGAAUGUCGGGCUACCACAGGCACUUAGGCGGCACAAGCUGGAUUACCUUGGAUAGGUCCCUAAUUGGAAAUGGAAAUCGACACGGUUUGAGAAUGAACAAUCACUACUAGAUAGGCUUAGUAGUUGGAUUACAUUUACAUGCAUAUAGCAUAGGGUUGAGACAUGUAGUCUACUUGACAGUUACCUAUUUCAUCACAGUAUACUGGGUUGCCAGGAUAGAGCUUAUACAUCAUAUUUGAAUAAAGGGUUGUAACAGUAAACUAUUGCCUUUGAUUACUUUUCCUUAUGAUAGAAUAGAUGUACAACAUUUGACAUCGUGCUUAUGAGGGAUAUAGUAGUAUAGCAUUUUACUUAUGCACUCUCUUUCAGCAGUUUAUUUACAUGCUCCUUUUUAUUACUUAUUGCUAUUUGCAUUACUUACCCUUAUUUUUGGGGCCUAGUGGAGCAGGAGCUGAGGUCAGUAAUUGCCCACUGGGAACUAUAAAUUAUAGUUCUCACGCCCUCUUUUUCUCGAUGUUUUUCAGAGCCUUCCACGCAGGGAGAGGCCAGGGAUCGCGGAAAGGGUAUCGCCUCGGGCUAGCGUGCUUACCGAGGGAUCGUUCGAUAGGUGGUCUACCUCUCGUGUUAUCUUUUUGUGAAAGGUUGAGAGUUGUACCCGCAUAUGUAUAGAGACCACCAUUUUUGUACUAGAGACAGAUAUUGUACUACUUAUGAUUCCUUUUAUUGUCUAGCUUUACUUCUUUACCUUGGUGUAGAUGUUAGAACUUUACUCGCUCUGAUAUCAUUAGCUGCUUAUUAUUUCGUUUCUUCUAUUUGUUCUACUGCUUGCAUGUACUUCCGUUUCUUUUUUGUAGACGCCUUAUAUGUGUAGACAUAUGGCGGGUCUGGGCACGCUACCGGGAGGGCCUCCGCCGGUCCCGGGGCGUGACAUUAACUCUCUGACAAUAAGGUCAAGUCUCACCGAAGAUAAAUCAACUGAUCAACAUGAUCAUAUCGCAACAUGGAGUACACACCAAUCUAUACGGUAAUGAACAUGACAAUCAAUAGGCAAGUAGAGUAAAAGCACAAGCCAAUAUGAAGUCAACAGAAGUUGUUCUACUUAAUUAAUAGAAUAGAUCAAGCGAAAAGAAAAGCGAGUAAGUUACAACUUUACUGACUUCAGAAUGGAGCACCCACCUAACCAAGUACCUGAGUUCUCGACUCGAUCAGUGUAUUUAACCGUCACCUGUAUAGGACAUACGAUCACCAAAUGCCACAAUGAGUAUCCCACGUGUCAACUAUAUCAAUUCGACACGAUCAACCUGUACUAUUAUACUAUAGUGCGACUGGAACAUCAGUUCCAUAAAC